rnacentral:lncRNA from 1 species
CCCCUGGCAGUGACUCAAUUCAACGACUCUCAGUUUAGAAAGUUGAAUGAUGCCUGCAAGUAUGCUACUAAAACAGUCCAUGCUUAGAUUUAGACCUGAAGCAUGCAAACACUCUAAACAUUGCAAACUCCUCAGGUUCUUGGGAAAUUCCUCAAGUUUUGUACAGAAACUGACAUCUAGAAUUUUAAGAGAACUCAAAUUACAAAUGGUCUCUGGAAGACUCACAAGGUUGGUGCAAUCUGCAAGAUUCAAACAUUGAAGCCCUCUUAAAUAUUGAAUUGAUGCUGGUAGUUCUUUUAUAGCAGUUCCAUCUAAAUGAAGAUUUCUUAAAUUUUCCACAUCCUCAAGGAUUUCUGGAAAGCUCCUUAAUCGUGAACAGCCUGAGCAGUUGAGAGUUGUAAGGGAUUUCAACUCACAAAUGCUACUGGGAAGACGCUCAAGGUUUUUGCAUUCUCGCAAACAUAAGCUAUCAAAUUCUAAGGGACACUCAAUAGUGGGUAGUUCAUUGAUGGCACUUCCCUUUAAACAAAGCUUCCGUCGGGAUUGCACAUCCGCUUGACAUUUCCGGCAAAUGGUGGGUAUCAUUGCUUUACCAUUGUUCUUUUCAUGAUCAUGGGCAUAUAUAAGAUGGAUCCCACACUCUUCCACUUUCAUUGCUUUACCAUGUGAGAAGCCACAAAAUGAAGCCGUCAACUGCCUCCAUUUAUUUGAGUGAUACUUCUUCUCAAUCACCACCUUUGCAUAAUAAAUCAUCCACAUUUUUGGUACAACAUCAUAGCAGCGAAACGAUGGAUAAAACUGGAGUUCAUCCACAAACUGAGAUUCAUGAGCACGCAAAGUCAAAGAACACUUGAGGUAAGCUGCAUCAUUCUCCAGUGUCUCCUCAGAUUCAUUAUCAAGUGGAUCAUAAAGAGAGUACAAAACAAAACCCAACAAGUCGUUAUUUUUAUACCAAUUUUCAGGAAGCUUUGCUACCACUUUAGCUCCCUUUUUGUGAUGGCUUAUCCAUUUUGGAAUUCCACAACUUCCUGAAAUAAUAAGAUUUACUCGGGCAAAAAGGCUGUCUCUAGGAUAAAUCCUGCAUUCAAAAUCCUGCACAAAAUUUAAUUAACACGUAAAUCCCCAUGUCUCCAUAGAAAAAGUUUUGUUCUAUGAAUAUCAUACCUGAAUCAAUGAUUUGAAGCAGUUGAAUAGAGAAGACCAGAGUAGACCCGAAGAAGUUUCCAGCCAUGGGCACUCAUGUACAUCUAAGACACGCAAACUGGAUGGAAGCGCUGGAAUUUGUCGAAGCUCUUGACAGUGACCCAAGUUAAGGAUUCUCAGCAUAGAAAGUUGAUUGACCCCAGAAGGUAUGCUCCUAAAAAGAUUCCCACUUAGAUGUAAAUGUUGCAGAGAUGAUAGGUGGCAAAUUUCAGUGGGGAUUCCUCCUUCAUCUAUUCUGCAGAAAGAUAGAUCUAACACUUCCAACGAGUACAAGCAGCAAAUAUCACUCAGGACUACUCCUUGCAUUAGCUUUGACCCAGGUAGAAUUAAAUUCUUUAAGGAGCAUAAACCCAACAAAGAAACCAAUUGGCAACAUGUUGAAUUUAAGCCACAAGCACAGAGAUGCUUCAAGCUUUGCAGCCUCCCCAGGUUUUGUGGCAAUUUGUGGAGUUUUGAACAGUAACUGACAUCGAGAACUUCAAGAAAGCAUAAAUUACAAAUGCUUUCUGGAAGAGUCACAAGUUUUUUGCAGCCCUCCAGAUUCAAAACUUCAAGCCUAUUCAAAUGUUCGAUUGAUGAUGGUAGCUCUUUUAUAGCCGUUUCAUUCAAGUGAAGCUCCCUUAAGUUUUCCAUAUUCUCCAAGAUUUCUGGAAAGUACUGUAAUUGUGAACAGUGAGAGCAAAAGAGAGAUUUUAGGGAUUUGAACUCCCAAAUGCUUGUUGGCAGACUCUCAAGGUUUUUGCACUCUCGCAAACAUAAGGUAUCAAAUUCAGAGGCAUGCUCAAUGGGUAGUAGGCUGAUUGGCUGACCCUUUAAACAAAGCUUUCGGUGUUCCACGUUCCUCUGACAUUCCAAGCAGCUAGCAUCCACAUCCUCAGUCUGUACUAUUGGGUCUUGGGAGUAUAUAGGUUGGAGCCCACACUUGAGCACCUUAAAAUGAUUGCGAGAGUCUAUAAAUACAGCAUUAAGAUGCAUGAAUCGAUUGGUGUGACAGCUCUCCAGAAUAGCAGCCUUGGGAUAGAAUAUCACCCACAUUUGUCCUGAUACACCUCCAUUAUGGUAGCAUUUACAAGUAGAGCAAAAACUGAGAUGUCGCACACACAGGGAAGAAGAUCCAUAUCCUUCACUCAAUGACAGUUGACAUUGUAACUUAGUGGAGAUUGAAGAUUCAGCUUCAAGUAAAUCAUCAUCUUCAUUUAGGACUUCGUCACCAGAUGGAUUCUCCAAUGUAUGUGCAAAAUAAUUUUCAGGUGUGUCCUCACAUUCAUAGAUUGGAGCAUAAACAGAGCAUAUAGCAAUUCCCAAGAAGUCAUCAUUUUCAUAACAAUUCUGAGGAAGGCCCAUUGUGAUAUGAUAUCCCUCUGUCUGAUUCCUUAUCCACUUGGGAAUUCCACUGCUUCCCGGAACAACAAUACAGAUUCCAUCGCUAAUGUAGUCGGAAUUAGGGAGAAAUACUCCAUUUGAACUCUUCUCGUGUUUCAAAUCCUGCACAAAUGGACAAUGUAAAUCUAGUGGGUCUGUGUCAUUAUGUGAGUUUUUAUGAGAGAGUUUGUUAUCGGUUUUUGAUAAAUUGAUUCCCAGUUUUAACUUUCUUUGAUCUAUGCUCCUGAAUCUACUUAAUAUCCCUUUUAGAUGACGGAUAAUCAAUGAACAUGAAAGUGAGUGACAAGAUUAAGUGUGAAAACUGGAAGUGAGGGGAAACUGAAACUGAAAGUGAGUAGAAUAAGCAGAUCUCUUCUUCACUUGCAGUAGCUUCUUCUCCAUUCAGAUUCAGAGAUCUUAGAAUUGUAGCUUCAACUUAACUCUCAGAAUCUUAAAGACAAAGUUCGCUCAAGUUUCAAAAACUCACAGAAAAAUUUCGCCUCUUGUUUCUCUUAAUCCCAUGAGGCGAGAGACAUGUAGCACACGCUUAUUGGCUUUUUUCCAUGCAAGUUUCAAGGUGGAGCAUCUAAUGAACUAAAACAUUCCUUCAAAUCCUAGUGGAAAUUCACACUAGAAAUUUCAGAAUUUGCUAAAGAAAGGUUGAAUUCAUUUUAUCCAUGAAUAAAAAAGCAUGUGAGGGCAUUUUAACUUCCUAAUAAUUAUUAUAUUAAACUAUAAUUCUCAUUAUUUAAACUGAUGAUCUUUCACUUCAUCACGACAUUUUGACGAGACUUUUGUCAUCUCUUCCAUGAAUUAAUUGAUGUUUAAGGAGGUACAAUAUUUUUUAAUUGAAUUUAACAUUAUUUCUAUCCUUAUACUCAUUUUAAACUAUUAUAUUUUUUUUUUAUAGUUUUAUCAAAAUAAAUAAAAACUUAACAAAAAAUAAAUAAAGAUUUCAAAACAAACUUUAUAGAGUUAUCAACACUUAUUUACAUCAUUCUUUAAAAAAAAUUAUAAUUAACAAAAAUGUGAUAUAAAAAUUAUAAAGAAUAAAAUUUUUUGAAAAAUGUACUAGUUAUUUGAAAUCAAAAUUCCUAGUCAAUGAAUCGUCAAAAAACUGCAAUAGCUAUGCAAAUGAGAAAAAUAAAUAAAUUAAAAGUAAAAAAAGAAAUUAUCAAUGUCAAGAAUGAGAAACCAUUUAUUUCCUUUUUUUUUUGUAAACUUUUUUUUAUUCUGAUUGUAUGUAUUCAUUACAAUUUUUAAAUUAAUAAAUAAUGUUUUUAUCACAAAAUUUAAAAAUGGCAUCUAUCAAAAUUUAUAUAUUGUUAUUAGAUUUUUAUAAAUUUCAUUUAUAUCUUCAAAAUUACAAACUCCUUUCCAUUAUUAUUUCUUAUUUUUCUUAUUGAAAAUGCAUCUUUAUUCAUCAUUUGAAAGCAUAACACUUUGAAUCUUAGGAUGUACUUCUUUCUUCCUAGGCAUUGCACUCUCAUAGGACCCAUUAAAUCCAUAUGCAACAUCUCUAAGAUCCUAGAAGAAGAGAGAAUCAGUUUUCUCUCUCAUUCAUGCGAAUUCAUUUUCUUAGAUGGGACAGAUUUUAGGAUUUUUAGGUUUUCCUAAAUGGGAAGUGCUUUAACUAGUUCUUUAAUUGUAAUCCUAGACAAAUCAUUAGAGUUUAAAUGCGCUACCAUACAAUGCUACUGUCUUUGGAUGUAAAUUUCACAUUUUACAACUAUGUGCACUAGAUGAUAAGGAAGAAGUAGAGAGGUGCACAAAGGCAUAACAAAAAUUACCAAAAAUUUGAUUUCAUACCAACACACAUCCUUGAAUAGACACUGAUUUGGAGUAAAAUGAACAAAGCAUAUACAAUCACAAAUUUAAGUUGCAUUAAUUAAGUUUGCUUUCAAUCCAAUAUAUAGUAACUCCUCGAGUAUAGGUAAAUUUGGACCUUCUAUGGUACCUUUCACUUUCGAGUUGGUUAUAUGUAAUACAACCAUCCCUAAAUACAACCAAGCUUCCCUUUAAGGUUCAAACGUGGAGAAAAACCAUAAGUUCAUUAUUUCUUUAACCAUUCCCAAAUACAACCAAACUCCUUUUAUGAGUUCAAAAGUCGAGAGAGAUCCAAGUUCUCUGUCAUACAACUAGAGUAGCCACUCUCAAAAUCCACAACGUGUUUUUCUCUAGCUCUUAGACCCUAUGGUCAACUAAGGCUUUUUGGUUCUCCUUAACCUAGAUUUUCUUUCCAACAGACAAUUUAAAUCCUAUUUAAGAAUUGUUUUUAAAAUUAAUUUCUCAGUUCUUAAAAAUAGAAACCUAUUUUGUAGACUAAAACCAUGUUUGGCAACUUUUUGACAUAUUAUAGUUUUUUGAGAACUUGUUCUGAAAAUAAGGUUUCUCCUAAUAACAUAUUUUAAUUGCUUUCAAUUGUUUUCAUUUAUUUUGUAAGGUUGUUUUAAAAAAAUAAUGGUACAUAUAUAAAGAAUGAUGAAAAAUAAAGAACUAAAAGUAAAAGUUAUUUUUAAUAAAUAUUUGGAAAUACAAAAAAUAUAUUAAAAACAUUCUAAGUUUGUAAAUAGACUUUUAUUCUAGAAAACAUCAGACCAACUAUUUUUGAAUCAUGCAAAUUGGGCACACAUUUUCUAUGCCUAGUUUUCUGCCCAAGGCCCUGUAAAUGAACACAACCUCAAUUUUAAGGAGUUUCAAAACGAUGGUUGCUUUCUCGAAGGGGAGAGGAGUUUCGAAGGGUGGUAAGAGUUUGUUUGCAAUGGAAUCAAAGACAUUCGAAAUCCCCAUUGAAGGGAUUCGAGGCAACAGAUGGGAUUAUUCCGAAAAGGAACAAAGGCUUCUCCUCAUAGAUAAAAUUUGGUGAAAAGAGCUUCAGUUUUCUGUUGGAAGGGGUGGAAGACUAGUGCAGAGGAGAGUCAAGCUCGAGGCACCUUAAAGUUUAGGAAGAAGAAGGAAGAAAAUAUAGGUUGGAGUGUCGUUCAAAUGAAGCCGAUAGGUAUCUACUAUGCUCGAUGAGGGAUUUGGAAGCUAAGAGGUUUUGUCUAGUGUUUCCAGAAGGUAAAGGCUUAGUAGGAGGGUGGUUUCUGUUGGCUUAGAAGUUAAGGGCCCUUGGAGUUUCUACUCCAGCCUUGAGUAAAGGUGAUCUGGGUACUUCCAACUCUGAAAAGAAUGGUUAUAUGGCCAAAGGAAAAGAUAAAGGGAAAGGAGUGUAUGCAGAAGUCGUGAGAAAGGAGGUAGGGGAAUUAGGGGAUGCAUUGUGAGUGCAUGUUGGGGAUCGUGACCUGCUCAGUAGGGAAGAACAGCUUAGCCAUUGUUUAGUAGGAUGUUUUGGUGAUAGUGUAGAGGUCGUCCCUUCUUUGUCCUUAUUGAAGGAGUGGGCGUGUGAAAAGUGGUAUCUCAAGGGAGGUUUAUAAAUCUCCAAUUUGGGUGGAGCCCUUGUGUUGUUCGAAGUUGAAGAUAAAAGUUGAAGUGGAUUUGGUGCUUUUAAGGGGUAGUAGAUGUCUUAAGAAGAGAGAGUUUUUCCUGCAGAAAUGGGGACUUGAAGUUGGGUGUUUUAGAAAUGGGAGCCACCCUAAGGAAGUGUGGGUGAAAGUUGUCGGACUUCCACUUCACCUUUGGAGUAGAGAGGUGUUCAAGAGUAUUGGAGAAAGAUGUGGUGUUUCAUAGCUGUGGAUAAGGAAACUGCUUUCUCCUCCGAGUUGAUGUGGGCUCGUAUCUUGCUGAGAGCCUUUGGGAAGUUUAGACCAGGAACUUCACAAGUGGCAGUCGGGAAUUUUUGUUGGACGGUGAGUCUAUGGUGGAAAACUCCCCCAUGGUUCUCAAAGGUAGUGGCAAGGUUCGCCUAGUUUGAAAAUGAGAGACGAGAGAUCAGGGAUGAGGUUGGGGGUGAAACACGUGCCGAAGUUAGCGUGCAAUAUGUUCAAAAUUUUCAAAUUGAUAUGCAGUCUUGGGGGACAGGGGCGCAGGUUGUGUGUGGCAGAAGGAAAAGAAAGGAAGUAGUUGUAAUGGUUGCAAAGGGUAAGCUGCCUAGUGUAGCUGAUAUGGACUCUUCUUGCAGUGGGUCUGGGCCCAUAAAAGAAAAUGGGAAGGCUUUCAAAGGGAAUGGUUGUUUGGGCUUUAGUGGUGAAGUGGUUUGGGCCAAAGGCCCAUUGUCCGUUAGCCUUGAAGAGGCGAGCUUAGGUAAGUCUCCUAAGCCCACUUUUAAUAAGGCUGGCACAAGCUUUUUGGAGCGUCCCUCCUCAGCUAGGGCUCCAUCUAUUCCCGCAGGGGGUGUUGGGGGACGGAUGCGAAGCUCUUGGCUGUUGAAGUUGCAGUCACCGCGGAGUUGCUGCCACAUCGUCGGAGCGUCACUGACAAGGCUCUGAUGGAGGAGGCUUCCAGGUAUUAAGCUAUUCCCAAUUUUUCUUUGUUUUUAGGGCUUCGGGAAUCCUCUUCUUCUUCUCUCUGGGGCCACACCGAAGUUGUAGGGGUGUCGAAGGGGUUUGCUUAUGGAACGGAAUGGGAGUUGGGUCGGUUUCCACCGAGUGUGGUGCGGAAUAGAGCUGAGUCGACUUUAUGAGGCUGGAGUGAGCCUUCUUGGGACUCGGUUGACGCUAAGAGAGUGAAUGGGUUAGCACUUGUCCCGAUGAGGUCGGACUUUACGCGCCUUUUUGAGAAAAGGAGUGUCUGUCACCUAGAAGAAGGGGGAUGUGAUGAAGGGUAAGGGGGAUGUGAUGAAGGGUGGAGUUCAAGCCGUCUUGCGGUGUUCAGUCGCUGCUUGGGUAUGCCAACGAAAGGCUUCGAAAAGGAAAUUUUGUACUUCUUAAGGAGAAUGACAGGGAAAAUUGAGUAAAAGGGUAAGAGAGGGGUGACUAGGAAGACAAGUUUAAAAUCUUCAAAAUCCAACAAGGAACUCAAGAAGCUGGAGUGGACUGUUAAAGAGGCUAAUGAUAGGGGUAAAAGGAAGAUUAUCAAGUCAGUCAUUAAAUCCCAAAGAGUGGACCUGGUUUGUUUACAGGAAACUAAAAUUAAAGAAAUGACUACAGGGCUUGUUCGUAGUCUAGGGGUGGGAAGAAAUCUAAAAUGGAGAGCAGUCAAUCCUAGGGGAGCAGCUAGUGGUAUUCUGUUGUUCUGGGACAAUAGACUGGUGGAGCUGGUUGGCUAGGAAGAAGGGGUUUUCUCAAUUUGGCGUUGGUUUAAAAAUUGCAUGGAUGGUGUAGUGUGGGUGUUCACUGGAGUGUAUGGGCCAGUAUGCAAUAGAGAUAGAGAGGAUUUCUGGAAGGAACUAGGGUCAAUUAAAGGGUUAUGGAGUGACCCUUGGUGUGUAGGAGGGGAUUUCAAUUUGGUAAGGUUUCCAAAAGAGCGUAGUAGGAGAGGUGGGCUUAUUGCUUCAAUGAGGAGAUUCUCAAAAGUGAUAGAAGAUUUGGAGUUGAGGGAUUUUCCUUUGACGGGGGGCUCAUUUACUUGGAGAGGAGGCUUGAAUAACCAGGCCCAGUCUAGGCUUGACUGGUUCUUAUUGACGAACAACUGGGAUAAUCUGUUCAAUGGGGCCAUGCAGGGAAUUCUCCCCAGACCUGUCUCAGAUCAUUUCCCGAUCCUCCUAGGAGGAGGGUUGACGAAGGGACCUUCCCCUUUCAGAUUUGAGAAUAUGUGGUUGGAGGAGGAGGGUUUCAAAGACAAGAUGAAGACAUGGUGGGGGAGUUUAAAAUUUACGGGGACAUCCAACUACAUUUUAAAUGCUAAAUUGGGGACUCUUAAAAAUAUUCUGAAGAUUUGGAAUAAAGAAGAGUUUGGGCUCUAUUGGGAUGAAAAGAAGAAAUGUGCAGCUUUAAAUAUAAAAGAGUGUGAAGCAAGAAAUGGAGCAAGAGUCCUACAAGUCUUGGGUGACGAGAGAAGAGAUUUUUUGGAGACAAAAGUCUAGGAAGUUGUGGCUGAAGCGGGAGGGGGGACAAUAAUACUAGAUUUUUUCAUAGGUUGGCGAAUGCUCAUAAUAAAAGAAUCUAGUUGUCCAAGUUGAAAGUUAAUGGCUAUUGACACUCAGAGGAAAAUAAUUUAAAAAAGUGUGGUGGGGGCGUUUCAAAAACCAUACUCAAAAGAAGAGGGGUGGCGCCCUAGUAUCGACAGGUCGUCCUUUAUAGGUUAGAUAGAAGUGAGGCUGAGGGGUUGGAGAAUCCUUUCUCGGAGGAAGUGGUGUUUGCAGCUCUUUCAGAUCUAAGCAAAUACAAAGCCCUAGGGCCGCAUGGUUUUACCAUGGCAUUUUGGUUUUUUUGGUGGGAUGUGGUGAAGGUUGAGAUUAUAGGCUUUUUUAGAGAAUUUCAUGAAAGGGGUAGAUUUGUAAAAUCUCUAAAUGUCACCAUCUUGGGUUUAGUCCGUAAGAAGGGAGGUGCUCAAGAUUUGAAGGAUUUCAGACCGAUUAGCCUUGUGGAGCCUUUACAAGUUGUUGGCCAAGUGUUGCCAAAUAGAAUCAAGAAGGUAAUGGGAAAAGUGAUUUCGGAACCCAAAAUGCCUUUGUGAAGGGUAGAUAAAUACUUGAUGCAGUUUUGAUUGCAAAUGAGGCUACGAAUUCUAGGUUGAAAAGCAGUCAAGGGGGUAUGAUGUGCAAAUUGGAUAUAGAGAAGGCCUAUGAUCAUGUCUGCUAAAAGUUCGUGUUGGCAAUGCUAAAAAAAAUAGGCUUUGGUGAGAGAUGGAUUAAGUGGAUGGAGUGGUGUAUCUCUAUUAUAAGAUUCUCUGUUCUUAUAGAUGGUUCUCCCUCCGGGUUUUUCCAAAGUUCAAGGGGUUUGAGACAAAGAGACCCCUUAUCCCCUUAUCUGUUUGUGAUAGUUAUUGAGGUAUUUAGUUGCUUAUUGAGAAGGGCCAUUAGUGGGGGCUUUAUAUUAGGGUGGAGGAUAAGAGGCAGGGUGGAGAGGGGAUUCUGAUAUCUCACUUGCUUUUUGCGGAUGACACCUUGGUGUUUUGUGAGGAGUCUCAGGAUCAAUUGACGCAUCUAAGCUGGCUUCCCAUGUGGUUUGAGGCUUGCUCAUGGUUGAGAGCUAACUUGGAGAAGAGUGAGCUUAUUCCGAUGGGGAGGGUAAAAGAUAUAGAAUAUUUGGCUUUGGAAUUGGGCUAUAAAGUGGGUGGUCUGCCUUCCUGUUAUUUGGGUCUGCCUUUAGGGGCACCCUUCAAAUCAGAGGUGGUAUGGGAUAGUGUUGAAGAGAGGUUUCGAAAAAGGCUAACUAUAUGGAAGAGACAACAUAUAUCAAAAGGGGGAAGACUCACCCUAAUAUGAAGCACUCUCUAGUUUGCCAGUUUACUUCAUGUCUCUCUUCUUUUUGCCCAAAAAAGUAAGGCUAAGGUUGGAGAAGAUUCAGAGGGACUUCCUGUGGGGAAGAGGAGCUCUUGAACAAAGGUCACAUCUUGUUAGGUGGAACUUGGUUUGUCUGGAAAGAAAGAAAAGUGAUUUGGGUGUGAGAAAUUUAGCUUUGAUGAAUAAAGCUCUCUUGGGUAAGUGGAAUUGGCGCUUUGCCAUUGAAAGUGAGGCUUUGUGGAAGCAAGCGAUCGGUCACAAAUAUGAUGUAAAGGAGGGGGGAUGGUGUACUCGGGCCGUAAGUGGGAGGCAUGGUGUAGGGCUUUGGAAAGCUAUUAGAAAGGAGUGGUUGGGUAUGUAUAGAAGUUUAGUCUAUCGCGUGGGCAGUGGUAGGAAAGUGAGAUCCUGGAAGGAUAAGUAGUAUGGAGAUGAGCCUCUUUAGGAGUCCUUCCCUUCUUUAUUUGCCAUUUCCUUGGCUAAAGAUGUUUGGGUAUCAGAUGUGUGGAAACCAGAUGGUGUAGAGGAUGGUUGGACCCCUCUUUUCUCAAGGGCGCUUAAUGAUUGGGAGAUUGAGAUGGUGGAGCAGUUUAUGCUAAAAAUCCAAGCCUUUAGGGUGUAAAGGGAGGACGAGGAUACAGUGGUAUGGACAGCAUCUAAAAGUGGAGGACUAGUAUUUGGAGAGCGUAUGUGCCUCCUAAGGUAACUUUCUUCGCUUGGGAAAGCAUCCUGAGGCAAAAUCUUAACUUUGGAGCAACUCCAUUGAAAGGGGUACUCUUUGGCAAAUAGAUGUUUUCUUUGCCUUUCUGAAGCAGAAAGGGUGGAUCACCUUUUACUUCAUUGUGUUAAGACACGGGCAUUGUGGAAUCUUCUUUUUUCCCUCUUUGGUGUGACUUGGGUUCUCUCUGGUUUAGUUAAGGAAACUCUCCUUGGUUGGCAUGGAGCAUUUGUGGGAAAAACCCGUAAAAAGGCGUGGCAAAUGAAUCAUUUAUCUAUAUUUUGGUCAAUAUGGAAGGAAAGAAAUUUAUUGGCUUUUGGGAAUGAGGUGUUUUCACUCCAAAGGUUGAAACAUUCUUUUGUAUGUAAUUUUUGAUCUUGGGUUAGGGUGUUUAUAGUUUUGAGCCCUUGUUCUCUUGUUAGCUUUUUUGAGUGGCUAGGCUCUAAGUAAGGGUAGGGGUUGUCGUUUCUUUCCCCUUUCUUGGUUUAGAGUAUGUGGGUUGCUUUUGUAUACUCCCUGUAUACUUAGAGGGCACUAGUUUGGUGUUUCCUCUUUUUGUUUAAUAUAUUUCUUUUUACCUAUCAAAAAAAAAAAAAAAAAACUAUUUUUGAGAACUUUUUUCAAUAACCGUUUUUUAAGAUUUAUUUUCAAAAAAAAUUCCUAAACAAAGCCUUAACCUUCAAGGAUCUAAAACUUUGCACUAAGUUUGGUGUUUUAUUGUUGGAUUUUCUUAGUCUUGCAAGCUUUAUGAUGAUCUUGCAAUAUUUUCUUUAAUUUACUAUUCAUUUUACCUGAGCAUUAAGUUUGGCUAAGUAUUGAAGAAUAACCUUGGCAUACAUUCAACUUCUUUUAUGGACAAAGGAAUGGAGCUAGAUCAGACUUUCUUUAAAUUUAGUCAAUUCUGAUUUACGUGACUCAUAAUCAGAUUGUAAAACAUUCAAAUUUUUUAACAAGGUACCUUGCUCAUUUUCAAGGUAAGAGAUUUUUUUCAAGCAAGGAAGUCUUCUCUCAUACUUCUUUUAUUCUCAUCCAACUUUCACAAUUUUAAUCUUAAGGCUUCCUUGGCAAUCUCAAAAGACAACUUUUCUUCCAAAUAUGUUGUAUCAUGAGAUGAACCUUCAAAAUUUUCAGAUUCAAGAUCAGUUUCAAAUUUAACAUUUUUCUUUUCAUUGCAAAGUGAUAUAGAAGGUAACAAGUAUAUCAACAAUUUCGUCAGGCUCAUCAUGCUCAAAAGACACAAAUAUCAUCAAUGUCAUGUGACAAUAAAUCAUAAUUAUGUUUAUGCAUGUUUCUAGCAACUUAAUGCAAUGAAAUUUGUACAUUCUUCAUCAAAAUCAUACCAAAUUACUUCUAUGACUUUAUCCUUUUGACAUUCAAGAAAGUGACCUUUCUUGACACAAUAGAAACUUUGAAUCAACUAGAUCUUUUUUGUGCUUUUUAAUCUUUUUAUCACAUUUCUUUUCCCUUGUUUAAUCAAAUAGGUUAUCCUUUGUUUCUGGAAGCUUUUUGAACUUUUUGAAACUUUAUCAAGCCUAUAAAUUUCCAAUAUUGGUCCUUUUUUAUUCCUAUUCUGAUUUAGAAGCAUGUUUAUCUACUCCUAGUGCAAUAUUAAUGUUUCUUUUUCUUAGGAACACUUGGAGUCAUCUCCAAUUGAAGGAAGCCAACUAUCUCAUCUGGCUUUAUUGAAUCAACAGUGUUCCAUUCCUCUAUUGUUAUGACCUUAGGUCUAAAACGAUCAAAGGGGAUCUUAACAGUUUUUCGAGUAACCUUGGAAUCAGGUAGAGGCCUACAUAGAUUGAAAGUUAGCAUUCACAAUGUCCAUGAUUUCAAUAAUAUAUUAAGAAAAUAAUUUUGUUGUGAUCAUUUGAAAUUCAUUACUUCACCUAUCCCAACUUUACAUAGUUUUACCUACCCUAGUGGAUAUACAUCCAAUCUCUAUUUAGCACCUUAUCAGGAUAUCAACAAAAUUGAACAGAACUCCAAUCUCUAUUAGACUUCAUUUUCAAGAAGUAUAUCAGUUGCACCUUGGAGUGAGUAUAAUUAUCUCCUUUGAAGUAUGGAGGUCUACCUAUAGAGGUUCCUUCUCAGAGAAUUUCCAUCUUAAGAGAAUAUAGUUUAUCCAUAUUGAGAACAUGAGCAAACAUGUUUUGACACAAUUUAUGAGUUUUUAAGAGAGUAUGCAAUGAACUUGAGAUCUCUUUUAGAUUAUCAAAUAACAUAUGCACAUGAAUGUGAUUGCGUGAUUAGCACAAGGUCAUAGACUAAAAUGUCUCUAAUGAAAUCUCAGCAAACAAGCACACAAAUAUUGCACAAGAUAUAACAUGAAAAAUCUCUAAGUGGAGAAAGGAAAAUAAAUAAAUAAAUAACAGUGGGUGCCUUUGUUGUUGCAAAUCCACUAUGAAUAUAAAUCCAGUUUUGCCUACAAGUCCUCCAAGAUCAAUCACCAAUCCCCUUAAGGAAUCCUCAAAGUGAUUAUUUCUUCAAUCCACACCUCGUUUUGAUAUGCUUCAAUACGGCUCAUCAUGUACUCACCACCAAUCUCUCACCAUAGCCUCCUUCAACUCUCUUCAAUUACCACGAGUUUUCUUCUGCUCUACUAAUUACAUUACAACAGAAUCACCUUCAUUAUCUCAUUGAAGUGAUCUCCAAAAACUAGAAAACAAAAAUUCCAUUUGCAAAGCAACUUCUUCAUAUAGAUUCAGAGAACCAAAAUAAGAAGAUGUUUUCACUUGUAGCAACAUCUUCAUGUAGAUUCAGAGAACUCAAAUUGUAACUUCAAAUUCACUCUUAGAAUCUCAAUUAAGGUAAAGCUCACAUUUCAAAAUCUCCCACCAAGAGUUUCACUUACUCUUCCUUUUUGAAAUGAGAGUAGAACCAACUUAGUGCCAAGGGACAUAAGGCACACUCUUAUUGGCCUAUUGUCAUGCAAAUUUCUAGGUGGAGGAGAAUCCAACUAACUAAACAAAUGUUUUUUCGCUUCUGGCCAUUUGUUUCUAUGGUCUAGAAAAAUAUGUCCUAGAUGAUUCCCAUUGUUUCAACUCUUUCAUGAAAAAUGCUUCUCAAAUCACUCACUCCAGUCUUUCAUUCACAUUACCUGUGAACUCCAAUCUGCAGUAGUGAAAUCCUAUCAAAAGACUUGGAUUGAGUUCCUGGUUCUCGGUUGCCUAGCUCUAGCAAACCAGGACUUCUGUUAGCAACCUGGAACAAGUAGCUUAUCCUUUCAAUCCCAUUUUCAAGCUCAAUUCCCUCCACCAGUGAAAACAAAUGGUCUUAUAUAAUCAACUCCAUUCACUCCAGGGCUAUACAGGAAACACUUGUGAGCUGGCAGGCAGUAGCUCCUCCCGACUCACCAUAUUUCCAACCCCAUUUGCUCCAUCAAAUUCAUAAGAAGCUAACAAAAUAACUAGCAUUAUAUAUCAUACAAUAUCUAUGCUAGUUAAUUUACAUGGAAAAUGCAAUUUCUACCCUAAAUAUGCCAACAUACAGGAAUACAUACAAUUUAUACAAACAUUGCACGCUAACACAAGAAAAUCAUACCUGACUUGCUGAUUUGAGGCAAUUCACCAGAGAAUGCAUAGGUGGCAAUGAGAUCCCAAUUGAGCUGUGACAAUCUAACAGUCGCAGACUUGAAGGAAGCUCUGGAAUUUGUGAAAGCUUCUUGCAGUGACUCAAGUCAAGGGCUCUAAGGUUAGAGAGUUGACUGAUACCCACAAGUAUGUCACUGAGGGUUCCUCCUUCCUCUGGACUGCACCGACUUAGAUUUAAUACUUCCAGUGAGGAUAGAUGGAAAAUACAAUGGAACACUCCUCCAUUUAGAAUGCAAUUUCCUAGACUAAAUUCUUUCAAUGCGUUCAAGCAGUUAUCACUCUUUAUUACUCCUGGUGUUAGAUUGCAUUGAUCUAAAUAUAGUUCCCUUAAGAGAGAUAAACCUGACAGAGAAGGCAAUUGACAACUAAGCGAAUUUAAAUAAAGAACCUCUAGACAUGGCAUUCUCUCCAAGUCCUCCGGCAAUCUGUCAAGUUUUGAGCAGCCUUCAAGACUUAGAACAACAAGAAAUCUCAAAUUACAAAUGCUGUUCGGGAGACCCUCAAGGUUUUUACAAUUAUCCAAAUUCAAGUAGCGAAGGCCUUCUAGAAGUUCAAUCGAUGAUGGUAGCUCUUUUAUAGCUGUUUCAUCUAAACAAAGCUCCUCUAGUUUUGCAAUAUUGCUCUUGAUUUUUGGAAAACUAGCUAGUUUUGAACAGCCAGUGCAAUGAAGAGUUAAAAGGUGUUUCGACUCAUGAAUGUCCCCAGGAAGACUCUCAAGGCUUACACACCCUAUAAAAUUCAAGGAAAAAAAAAGUUAGUUUAAUAACACUCUUAUAUGUGUGUGAACCUUAAGUAAAAUUAUACAACCUGAAAGAAUUAGUUCCUCCAAAUUUGGCACGUUUGAGAAAUUUGGUAGCUCAAUGAGUUGUUGUGAAUCGCUGAGAUUGAUGCGCCUUAAAUUUCUAAGACACUGGAACAAAAUAGAAUUUCUAUUAAUAAAUCAAUUUUAAAAAACUUUAAAAUAUUAUAAAAUAAAAGCACAAAUAAAUAAUAAUCAUACCAUGUUUCCUUUCCAAAGUAGUUUUAUGUUACUAUUGCCCAAUAUGAGGGAAACAAGAUUGUUCGCAUGAAAGUUUGAUGGUAGAGAUUCUAAAGAAUAUCCAUUCCAUCUAAGGUAUGUCAAGUCAUACGGAAAUACAAAAUCUUUAGAGAGUUGUACGUGAUUGUGGGAGAUGGAAAGCAAUCUAAGUCUAUGCAUCCUUUCGAAAGCUUUGGAUGUAAACUGUAUUUGUUCUGAUUUGUCCACAUGAAGAUAUAUCCCUUCGAUUUUUUCAGUCCCCUAGAUAAUAAGAGUAUAAAAUUAGAAAAGCGCAAUAAAUAUAAAUCCUUACUAAGGUGAUAAAGAUAAAUAACGUCUUGAACAAAACAUAUUUUCUAUAUAUAUAUAUCUUACCGUAUUUCUUUUUAAUACUCGAUAAAUAUCUAUAUGUCUCCAUAAUCUGCUCCUCUCUCCUGGCUCAUUAGGACAUUCUUGAUCAACAAUGCCCUUGCCCAUUUGGGCUAACAAAUCAUGCAUAUCUAUUCUGUUGUCCUUUGAAAUGGUUAUGAAACACCUAUCAACGAGAGCAUUUAUUCCACUUUCCGCAUUGAAUUCGGAAGCAUCCAAUAUUCUUGAAACUCUUUUCACAUCAUCUCCUCUAAAGAAACAUGCAAUGUCGAGAAAUAUCAUCCUUUGUGUAUAAUCCAAUCCAUCGAAACUUAUUUUAAGCACUUUUACAAUUUCCAUGUUAGGCACCUUUUCCAGCUUCUGCAAUUCACUUUUCCAAUCUGGUAGUCUCUUUCCAAAUAAUAGAGAACCCAAAACUUUAAGUGCUAAUGGAAGACCAUCAGCAUAUUGUACUACUUGAUGAGAGAGAUCUCCAUAACCUUCCUUCGGAUGAUGUUGUUUAAAGGCAUAACGGCAAAAAAGUUGAAGAGCUUCGUGAAAAUAUAAUUUCUCAACUUCAUACAUAUCAUUUACUUCAUGCCUAGUUAGCAAAUCUUUUUUCCUAGUAGUAAUGAUGAUUCUGCUUCCUGGACCAAACCAAUCAUGCUUUCCAAUUAAGUGUUCUAAUUGUGUCAGCUCAUCUACAUCAUCCAGAAAAACAAGAACCUUUUUUGAGGAAAGCUUGUCCCUUAUUUCUUUGAUACCUUCAUGAACAUCCCUUAAAACUAUUUUCCUCGUUGUCCUUAGAGUAUCAUUAAGAAGUUGUUGUUGUAACUUAAGAAGACCAGAAUUUUCUGUGGAUUCUUUUCUGACAUCUGUGAGCAAGCUAACACUUUCGAAUUGAUUUGAGAUUCGGUUAUAAAGAGCAUUGAUGAUGGUGGUCUUGCCGAUACCACCAAGCCCAUAAACCCCGACCAUGCGAACAUCAUUCAACUCAAUCUUUAACAAUGAUAUUAGUCUUUCCAAACGAGAAUCCAUUCCAACAAUGUUCUCGUUAACAACUAAAGUCUUAGGGAAGCUUCUAAGGACGUUCUCAAUAAUUUCAUCAAUAAGCUCUGAUUCGUACCUGCCAAUUGCAUUAGGAUGAGUUGCAAAAAACAAUAAAUUAUAUGAAAUAAAUUUAAUGAUGCCUAGUUUUCCAACUUUAACUUAAUAGGGCUAAAACGAAUUGAAAUUAAAAUAAAAUAAACCACAUCUAACAAAUUACGUAUCAGUACAAUUUCAUUAUUCUAUACAAUUGCUCAUGUAUAUGAUAGAAAUAAGGGAAGAAAAUACAAAAUAUGAAUUGGAUUAUCAAAAGCGGAAAAAAAAAAAAAAACUAAAAUAUUUUUGUGUUAGCUUAUACUAUUCAAUCUUGUGGAAGGUUCAAAAUAAAGUUGAGUUGUCUAGAACAUUACUACCCUAUUUUGAUAAGGGAUUCCAUCAUAGGAUCAACUGCUAGUCUGCAUCCAAGCUUUUUAAUCUAAUGAUUUUACUACUGAUUAGACGGUCAACAUUACUAUCUUCUAUACUUGCAAGACUUUCUCUCACCAUUUAUUUAGAUAAAUGUCUCUUGCUGUUCCAUAUGUUGUAUUUUGCAUUUAUUUUUGUCUCUAGCUGUAUGAACAAAAAUUUUUGAAAACCGUUUAAUUAAAAAAUAACUUUCAUGAAUUAAUUAAAAAUAUUUUAUUUAUAAUUUUAAUUCUAUUGCAUGAAUGAAUUAAGAAAACAAAUUUACAUCAAUUUUAACCUAAAAUAAUUUAGUAUAUUCUUUAUGAAUCAAUAAAAUAGAAUUUUGUUUUUAAGAAAUUGUAAUAUUAUGGUAUCAAGUUUAAAAUUUUAAUGAACAGAUCUUUAUUUUAUAAAUAAUAAAAAUGAAUAAAAAAUUAUAAAAGUUUAAAACUCACUUAGCUUUAAAAAUUAUAAAAAUGAUAUAAAUAUUUUUUAUAUCAGCAGACAGAGAAAAGGAGAGUACUUCAAAUGACAAAUGAAGAGAAGUUACAAUUACCUGUUCGUCGCAUCAUAUCCGGCUAGAUUGCUUGCUUGCCUCAGGGCAGUCUUCCAUUUCCUUAUCUUUUCCUUUCUCUCCUCCUCUGCAUUCUUCUCAUGAUGGGUAAAUGCUUCUCCGUAAAUCUCAGUUUGGUUCCGCACUUCAGACGGAUCCACAUGAUAGAAAAUUGGGAUAACUACCAUUUGUUCCCUUUCCUCUUUGCAUUUCAUGAUCUUGACAAGCUCUUCCAGACACCAUUUGGAACGAGCAUAGGUUUCUGAGAAGACAACAAUGGCACUCCUUGAUUCCUCAAUAGCUUUUAAGAGCUCUGGUGCAAUCUCUUCACCCCUUCGAAGUUCUUCAUCAUCUCUAAAGGUUCUAAUACCGCUAUGAAUCAAAGCCUUGUAGAGAUGAUCAGUGAAGUUUCUGCGAGUAUCUUCACCUCUAAAACUCAAAAACACAUCGUAACUCCAUUGAGAAUGGGAAGUGGAAGAAGAAGAGGCCAUGGUUGAACAGAAAUUGAAAGAAAAAUAAGGGUCUUUGGGUAUUUAGUGGGUUGAUUCCCUUGGCCUUAUAGAAGUAUGGAUGUUGGUGGUGGGAUGUUGCCUUUUCUUUCUCAAUUGUUUUUAUUCUUAGCUGUAUCCCUCUUGCUGGUUCACAUGACUCAAGACCCUACCUCAAUUAUUUCCCUCCACUCUUUUCUUAUACAUUUUACUCUCACUUUUCUCUUGUUGACAGUCAACAAUGGCCGACAGUCUCGUCUCUGCAGUUUACAGCUGUUCUUUUCUUUUAUUUCCAAUUAAUUUCUAAAAUAUAAAAAAUGAUCAAAUCCAUGUGAUCUUUACUUAGGUCAUAAGAUCGUGUGAACGCACAUUAAAUUAAAGUUAUUCAAUUAAUUUUUGUCUUUUGCAUAAUGAGCAAUAUUAUAGUAGAAAAUAAAGGUUUAUUAUGUUGAUAUGUCAAGUAAAGCUAACAACUUUGGUAUUAUAAGCUUGAUUUUUGUAGAUAGAAAAAUAUGAGAAGUCAUAUGACAAAAGGCAAAGAAAAUUUUGAUCAUGAAAAGUAGAAAAAAGCACAAAACCUUCAUGAAAUUCUAAUUCUAAGGAAGAAAGACCAUGCUCAAAACUCGAAAUUUAAAUUCUCACAAUCUUUUCAUAUUUUGCAGAUAGGUUUAUUAUUAAUAGAAGCACAUAAAUAAAUAUUGUACUUAAAUCCCACUAAUUUAUAGGUCAUUAUGGUAUAUGUAGGUCAUCAUAGUAAUGAGUGGGAAGGUGGGUACCUUUAAAAAGAAUAAGCUAAACCAAUCACCCUAAAUUUCAAAAGCACCUUUAUCAUAAAAGUGUGGUAAUGAGAGUGGAUAUCUUUUAAAAGAAUAGACAACCCUGAAUUUCAAAAAAAUGUCUGUUUCUUGGCGAUUGUAUCCCAACAGUCUUAUCUUUUUUUACUUUAUAUCUUUUUAUUAUUAUUAUCGUGAGGAUGGUUAAAGAUGAUGCUAGAAGUUUUUCUAUGGUUUAAAAAGAAAAAAUGUGAGUGUUAAGUUGGCAUUUUUGUCUUUUUAGAAAAUACUUCAUUUUAAGAUCAUUAAUAGAAGAAAUAAAGAGUUCAUAAAAAAUAAAGAAAUUUUUAUUGACUGAUCUAGGUAACCAUUUCAUGGCUUUUAAUUGUAACUUUGUUGAAAAUCUUACUCCUUCCUCCUUGUCUUCCUCUUGUUAUUCAAAAGUUUCAACUCCUUUUUUUUUUAAAUAAUAAUAUUGAUUUUAUGUUUUAAUGAAAUAAGUUGCAAAUUUGAAGAAAACAUAUUCUAAUGUAUUUAUUGAUUAUGGUCCUCUUUUCAAAAGGGUUAUCGUUAUUUACAUUCUCGAACUAAUCAAGUUUACAUCUCUAAAUAUGUAAUCUUUGAUAAGUUUGAGUUUUCUUUUACUAACAAAACUUCUCCCGUAUCUUUCUUGUAGGAACAAAGUCAAAUGACCAUAUUUUGAGAUUCUUAUCAACAGUUACAACCAUUCAAUCCAAACACCAACUCAACCCACAACUUCACUUCCACCAAACAACCUUUCAAACUAUCGUAAUAAUGUAGAUCUUCUAUUUUAUUUUUUUUAACACAUCUCAUCUAAAAUUGUCUUCUUACAUCCUUUAACACCUUAUUAUGCACUUAUGGUUAUUUUUCUAAGCUAUUUUUCUAAAAUUGUCUUCUAUUCAUUGUGAUUAUGUUGAUUACUAAUUAUUUUAUUUUAUUUUAUGCAAGAGACAUUCUGAAGGGAUUAGAUGCAUUCCAAUAUUGAUUUUAAUGAUUUUUAAAUCUUAAUUUAGGACUUUAUUUUUUAUUGAUUUAUAACAUAUUUAAGUUUGUUUAAAAUUUUCAAACUUUAAUUUUUAUAAAAUAGAUUCAAGUUUUGAAUUAAUUAAUAAUUGAUUUCAUUCUCUUUAAAGUGUAGAAUAUGAUAAAAGGCGUGUAACAAAUUCAAACAAAUCAUUAUACAAGUGAGAAUUUAGGUCAUCCAAUCAUUUUAUUAAAAAUCACUCUAUAAAUUAUAAAAAUAAAGAUAUUAAUCACAUCUAUUAAUAUGUUUUUUUUUAAAUUGACAAAUCAUAAUGAAAUUAUAAUCUUUUUAAUAUUUUAUUAAUUAUAAAUUAAAACGUCAUUAUAAUUAUUCAAUCCCCACGGAAUAUAAAAUGAGUUAUUUUUAAUAAUAAUAACUAAUCAUAUUUGAAUAACAUUUCAUCAAUUAUAUAUAAAAAUAAAGUUUUAUGUUUAUCAUAACCUAUGUUUUAAAUUAAACAAAAUAAUAAAAGUUACAUUUCCAUUUAAAUGUAUUUACAUAUCUACCUCCAUAGCCCAUGGUAUUAAAAUAAUCUAAUAAAACACAGUAUCCCAUAACCGGUCAACAGCACAGCUGCUCCUAGCCUUAGCCCCUUGCAGCUGCAAUCAGCUGUUCCACUCUCUGUUACAGUCCAGCUUUGGCCGCCCAAGACAUACAUCUUUUCACCCAUCACCCAUUUACCCCUGCCACAGCUAUUUUUUACCUUUGAGCUGCCCAAAGUCACACCAAACUAGCUGAUAAACCAUACCUUACAACCUGCAAACCAUCUCCUCAGCCAUCCCUAAUAGCCCACUGCCAGCCCUUUGUAAGAGUCACACCAAAGCCAAAUUUUUUUUAUUAUUAUUUUUAAUCAACUCCAGCACAGCCUCGUCAGACCGCCGAGCCUCCUGAUCUCAUCUCCAAACACGUUCUGCAGCUGAAUCCUUUGCCUUUAUGAAGUUUGGAUGCUGGUGGUGGGAUGUGCUUUUCCUUUCUCAAUUAUUUCUGCUUAGCUGUAUCCCUCUAGCUUUGAACUUUCACUUUUGUCCCUUUUGGCAGUCAACAAUGGCCGACAGUCUUGCCUCUGCGAUUUACAGCUGAUCUUUUCUUUUAGGGAGAGUUGGGAUUACUGGCUGUUAUACGAGAAAUACAUGGUUUUCAAAACCAUAUAACUGAAAUAUGAUUUACCUGAGAAAAAUUGUGAGAGUUGAGUUGUCAUUUUCGCCAUUUUAUAAAAGACUUAAUUUUAAGACCGUUAGUACGUAGAAAUAGGGGUCUCUAAAAAGCCCGCGGCCCGCUUUAGGCCCGGCCCGGCCCGGCCCGACGGGCUAAAGCCCGGCCCAAGCCCGCCGGGCCCAAGCCCGGCCCGAGCCCAUUUAUGGGCGGGCCGGGCCGCGGGCCUAAAUUUAGGCCCGGCCGUUGGAGACCCUUGCGUAGAAAUAACAAGUUCACAAGAACGAAAGAGACCUUUGUUGACUGACCUAGGUAACCCCUUUCAUGGCUUUUUCACUUGUUUGUUUUUGGAUUUUCUUUAAUGAGGCUAGGUGAUUGUUGUUUAUUUUGACUUAUAUUUUAGAUGGAUUUCAUUUUUAAUAAGAGUUUUUCAUGGUAAAAAUUGAUGUGAUACAAAUUUUUAUUGAUAUUAAUAUCAUUUUAUCAUAAAUUAUUUAGAGUAUAGAUAUAAAUAAAAUAUCAAUACCAUAGGAAAUGUUAAAAUAAAGUUAGGUGCAUAUGCAAAAAAUAAAAUUUGAAAAAUAGAAUAGUCCAGUCCAACCAUAUCCACACAUCCAUCUUCCUAUAAAUUAAACUAAUGAUAGAUACAUAAGUCAAAAAUAAGAUUUGAAAAAGAGUAUAAUCCAAUUCAACUACCCACCUUCCAAUAAAUUAAACUCAAAAUGGGCACAUAUUCCAAAAAUAAAUUUUGAAAAAUAAAAUAGUCCAAACCAACUUUAUCAACAUGUCCAUCUUCCAAUAAAUUAAAUUGGAAAUGAGUCGGCAUGUGAUAAAAUAAAUGUCAAUUUCCAUUUUACUUAUAUUAAAUUCACUUAUAUAUUUAUAUCGAAAAUUAUCCUUUGAAUCUUUCUAGAAACAUUAGAUUUUAAGGAAAUCAUGCAAGUAUACUUUUCUUAUUAUCAAUUUAAAAUAUAAAAUCCUUCCAUAGUUAUUUAUUAAAGUUCUACAAAGAAAAUUAAGAAAAUAAGGAUUUGGUAGGUAAUUAUGUUUAAAAAUAAUUUUCUAUUUUUUAUAGUAGAAAACCAGGUUCUAACUUUUUUUUUUUUAAAAAAAAAAAACACAUUAGACAAAUUUCGACCAAGAAGAAUUUCUUCAAAAUUUGCUCUAGAUACAUGUUAUUUUAAAAACAUGAUUUUGACAUAUUUUCAAAUAUUGUUUGUAUAGUUUUUGAGCAAAAAAUGAAAAGAUGGAGAAUACUCCAAAAACUUUGCAAAUGAAAAUACUAUGUUUUAUAUUUAUGUUUUCAAAUACAAUUUUGCAAAUGAAAUAUUUGAGAAUGUUCUUAAAAAUUAUUUUUUAAGAAGUGCUUUUGAAAACUUGGCUAAACAUGACCUAAAUAUCCUAAACAUGAAAGAUACAAGAAUGCAAGAAAAACAUUUUCAAUAAUUUUAUUUUAUUUAUUAUAUUAAAGAGUAACAUUAAUGUUUCAUUAUGAAGUUAAAAUGUUUCAUUCAAUCAAAAUUUAUUCUGCUAGUUUUCAAGGAAAGCAUUAUUUAUCAAGAUGCUUGCCUUAGUUGUUUUGUAUUUUAUAUUUUUCUUUGAUUGGGAUUGGUGAGAAUUGUCCUAAAUAUAGAUUUUAUUUUGAAUAAUUUCUAAAUUAGACUUGUAAAAAAUAAGAAAAAGUAUCUAGUAAUUCAUUGUUACACAUGAAUGUUGCAACUUGGUAAAAUUUAUGAUAUUUAUCACUAGGAAAUUUUGCUUAUAGAUAUAAAUAAAAUGGUAACAUCUAUCACAAGGAAAGGUUGGGAAGGAAGCAAACAUAUUAAUAGGUGAAACAAGAAAAAGAAAAAUAAUAAUAAUAAAUGAUAAAAAAAGGUAAGGGAAUUCAGAGUCAUGAGUUGGUACUCUAUAUUAUUUAAAGUGAUUAUAAUUUAGGGUACAAAUUUCUUUAGAAAUAAAUAACGUAAAUAGAUUCUAAAAAAGAUUAUGUAAAAUUAUCAUUUCUUAAAAAAGAGAAGAAGGUAUUUUCUUUAUUUUUAAACAUUUAUUAAUUUUUAAUACUAAUACAAUAUUAAAUCUAAUGAGAAGACCUCCUUUAAUCUUCUCACUUUAUUCAUUGAAGUCUUUUUAAAUAAUUUGAGAAAGUAAUUUUAAAUCCAAUUACAUGGUGAAGAUCAAGGUAAUAGUUAGAAUAAAACUACAAAUAACAUGGUCAAGAUCAAGGUGGGUGUGUGUGUGACAAUCUUAUAUACUUUUUUGGAAGUAUGAAAAGAGUAAUGAAAUCAUGUACCUAAUAAAAAGUAAAGAAAACUUUAAUUCUACUGGAGGAAGCAAACACUAAACUUCCUUAAGAAAAUGGUAAUGUUGAAUUAAAUAACUUGCAUUGACGAACAUUAUGGUCCUUAUUCUAAAUUAUUUCAUUUCUUUUAUUGUGUCUCCAUUCAUUUAACAUGAUUUUUGAAAGUAUAAAAAGAGUAAUAUAAGUUACGUACCUAACAAAAUUAAAAAAAAGUACUUUAAUUUAAAUAGGGAAUGAGACAUGAAACUUCCUUGAAAAAAUGGCAAUGUUGAAAAGUUAAUAAAGUAGUUUAAAUUUUCAACUUGUUACAUUAGAUAACUUGCAUUAAAGGACAAUAUGUAUCUUAGAAAUAGAAAGUUUUGAAGUGAAACAUCUAAACAUGUAGGAACAUUAAACAAUGCCUUGGUCAAAAAAGGAAAACGCAUAGGAACAUAUAUCAAAUAAUAUCUUGGUCAAAAAGAAUAAUGCUUUAGUAAAAAAUGGAAAAUGCAUAGGAACAUUAAAUAAGACAAUAUCACAUAGGGUUUAGGUAAGACAAUUCUCUAAUCCCUUAUCCUUGUUGGCUCAUACACUUGUUGAACCUCUUUGAUACGAAAAUAAUCCAAAUGACUCAUAAAAUAUAGUGUUUAUAUGGAUGCUAUUAAGAUAUAAAUUAGGCUACAAUGAAAGUUAAUUAUAACUUUAAUGUUGGAGGGAAUAAGCAAUUUUUUGUGAGAAAGGGCAACACCUAGAAAGUCAAUAAGAUUAAUUAUCUUAAUAAUGGAAAAAAAGUUCAUUCUUAUGAAUCCUCAAAGUGAAUCAAAGAGACAAACUUCAAUUUUGAAGUGAACAUAAUUAUUAUUUUUUUGUUUCUUUGUUAAAUAAUUAGUAAUACUUAAUUUAUCGAUCGUGUAAGAAUCAAAGAAGAAUAGCUACUAUUCAUGCAAUGGGUCUCAUCUUAUUGUAACAAAACUUAUGAUUAUUUUUCUUCCAUGUAUUGGAAGUUACUAUAAAUUCAUUUCCCACUUGUUAUGUGACUUAGGUAUCAAAUAGAGCCCACUAGAUAAAAUUUCUCUCAAGGUAUUUCCACAUCAAAUUUCUUUAUUUUAAACAUGUUUAUGGAUGUAAGUUUGCAUUGAAUAAAUUUCAAGUAUUAAUGUAGACUAACAAUAUUUAAAUAAAAAUGAUAAUAUAUUUAAAUUUUUAAUAAAAAUUGAGUUGAAUUUUUCAACCAACAUUUGAUUUCCUUCCACUCACCUAAUGUUGGCAUUAAAAUGCAUUAAUAUAUAUAUAUAUAUAUAUAUAUAUAUAUAUAUAUAUAGAUAUAUAAAUAUAUAAUCAUUGUCUUGGGAACUUUUUCUUCGGUGCUUAUCCUCAAACCUUCUUAAAAAAAAUAAGAUUGAUUCUUGUUGUGCUCACCUAAUGCUUGCAUUAAAAUACUAUAAACUUUUUUUUUGUGAGCUUAUCCUUACACCUUAGAAAACAAGAUUGAUUCUCGUUGAUAAGAAGAUAAGAACAAAAACUUCUAAUAAAUUAUAUUUGGUAUAUUGGUAAUUUAAUGGGAAAAGACCUUAAAUUUUGUAAAUGUAAAAGGAUAAUAUAGUUGGACGACACAUUUAUACAAAUAUAUGAUUGGAUUUUAAUUUUGUAACUUAAUUAAUUAAGAAAAUAAAACCUUUGGGCUAUUUAAAUAUAAUUGGAUUUUAAUUUUUAGUUUGGGUUAAAGUUACAAAAGAAAAAAAAAUGACCCAAAUAAAUUAAUUGGGCAUUUAUAUUUAAACAAUUAGUCUUUAGAAUUAAUAUUUAAUUGGAUUGAAAAAAAAAAAAAAAAAGAUAAUAAAGGGAGUAGAAUGGUCUUUUCCCAUUAGAAACCUAGGUAUAAAUAUUCACCACCCUUCUUUACAAAAGUCUUUUGCAUAGAGAGAAAAUGUGGGGUUUGAAAUCAAUCUUUUAAAGCAAACAUAUAUAGAUUCAAUAUUUAGUUUCAUUUUUAAUGGUCAUAAAAAAAUAAAUAAUCUAGAAUCAUAUCAUGAUAAUUAUUAAAUAUGAUUAAUUUUUAUGAGAAAAUUAAAAAACACAUAAUUCUAAUUAAUUAUAUAGUCAAAUACCAUUAACCAUUCUUAGUUAAAAAUUUAAAGUCUUUUUCCAUUUGCAUUGGACAUUACUAUUAAUAGAUGCAUAUCCAUGAAUAUUGUACUUAGUAAUAUUUCUUUUAGAAUUAAAUCCCAUUAAGAUUAUAUUGCAUUGUGAUGUAUAUGAGUUGCACCUUCAAUUAUUUUUAUUUAACUUUGGUUCUCAGAAAAUAUUAAGGAAAAAAAAGAUAUUAAGGAAAAUAAUUCUUCAUGUUUGAUUGUCUUAUGAAAAAUUUCAAAAAAAAUAAAAUAAAAUAUAAUUAAAAUUAGUUUAGAACUUAUGUAUUUUCAAAUUAUUUAAUCUUUAUGUUGAUGAGUUAAAAUAAAUAAAAUGAGUUUGAAAUAACAAAUAAAAAUAAUUUAUCGACUUUAACCUUAUUUUUUAUUUUCCUUCAAUUUUUCAUUUCUUUUUUUUUUUUUCACUUUGUUUUCUUUCCUUUGUAUUUUCCCUCAGAUUUUUUUGGAAACCAAACAUAACCUUAAUGAUUAUGAGAUCAUAUUAGUUAAAAAGUGAAGUUUCUACCACUACAUAUAAUAAAUGCAUAUACAUGUAUAUUUUGAUCUUAGCCUAGACAAUAUUUAUAUAAAAAUGAAUAGAUCAUUAUAAAUGACAUUAAAAUUGAUUUCCUAUUGAGAAAUUACAAGUGUUCUAUACUUUUUAUAUAUAUAAAAAUUUCUUAAUCAAUAUUAUCAAAUAACUUUUUACAUUUUUCUAUUGAAAUAUAUAUUUUUUUGCAAAAAAAUUCCUAUUAUUAUAAUAAAUUUUUUUUUUUCAUAUUUUUCAAUUAAGAUAUACUCUUCAUAAGGACAUUCCUAUUAUUAUAAAAGAUAAAUUAUUUUUUAUAUGAAUAUUUUAUUUAAUCAAGAUAAACAUGGAAAGAAAUUGUUCUCACAUGUCUUAUAUUGAGAAAAAUUAUAUAUAAAUUGGAAAUAAUUUUAAAAUUAAUAAAAUCUAAAAGUUGUUUCACUAUUUUCUAAAAUUAAUUUCAAUUUUUUUUUUACUUUUUAAUUAGUGUAUGUUUAUGUAUGUAUGCAUGCAUGUAUAUAUGCAUACAUAUUAAAAAAUGUUGAUCAUUUAAGUGGCUCUAAACUAAUUAUUUAUUUGCAUGAAAAAAUUUAUUUAAAAUGAGUUGUUCAUCUUUUAUGAGAUAUAACAAAAGCCAUUUGCACUAGGUCAUAAUGGUAAUGAGUGGGAAGGUGGGUGCCUGCCUUUAAAAAGAAUAGAAGUGAACAACCACCCUAAAAUUCGAAAGUAUAACAUACAAAAGUACCUUGCAUUGAUGUACGCAUACACAUGAAACUUCCUUGAGAAAAUAGUAUUGUUGAAAUGUCAACAAAGUAGUCAUACACAUGAAACUUCCUUGAGAAAAUAGUAUUGUUGAAAUGUCAACAAAGUAGUUUAAAUCCUCAACAGGUUGUUACGUUAGUGUGUGUGUGUGUGUGUGUGUGUGAGAUAAAAGAUUUCAAAAGGAACAAUCCCUUGGUCAAAAAACAGAAAACAUAUAGAAACAUAUAUUGAGAAUAAUAUCUUAUUAAAAAAGAAUAAUGUCUUGGUGGGAAUGGGAAACGAGUAAGAACAUUGAAUAUGACAAUACCACAUAUGGUUAAGUAAGGCUAUUCUCUAAUCUUUUAUCCUUGUUGAACCUCUUUCAUUGAAAAAUAAUCCAAAUGACUCAUAAAAUAUAGUGUUUAUAUGGAUGGUAUUAAGAUAUAAAUUAGGCUACAAUGAAAGUUAAUUAUAACUUUAAUGUUGGAAGAAAUGAACAACUUCUUAUGAUAUAUAUAUAUAUAUAUAUAUAUAUAUAUAUAUAUAUAUAUAUAUAUAUAUAUAUGUGUGUGUGUGUGUGUGUGUGUGUGAGAUAAAAGAUUUCAAAAGGAACAAUCCCUUGGUCAAAAAACAGAAAACAUAUAGAAACAUAUAUUGAGAAUAAUAUCUUAUUAAAAAAGAAUAAUGUCUUGGUGGGAAUGGGAAACGAGUAAGAACAUUGAAUAUGACCAUACCACAUAUGGUUAAGUAAGGCUAUUCUCUAAUCUUUUAUCCUUGUUGAACCUCUUUCNNNNNNNNNNNNNNNNNNNNNNNNNNNNNNNNNNNNNNNNNNNNNNNNNNNNNNNNNNNNNNNNNNNNNNNNNNNNNNNNNNNNNNNNNNNNNNNNNNNNGAAAUAGAAAGUUUUGAAGUGAGACAUCUAAACAUGUAGGAACAUUACACAAUGCCUUGGUCAAAAAAGGAAAACGCAUAGGAACAUAUAUCAAAUAAUAUCUUGGUCAAAAAGAAUAAUGCUUUAGUAAAAAAUGGAAAAUGCAUAGGCACAUUAAAUAAGACAAUAUCACAUAGGGUUUAGGUAAGACAAUUCUCUAAUCCCUUAUCCUUGUUGGCUCAUACACUUGUUGAACCUCUUUCAUUGAAAAAUAAUCCAAAUGACUCAUAAAAUAUAGUGUUUAUAUGGAUGGUAUUAAGAUAUAAAUUAGGCUACAAUGAAAGUUAAUUAUAACUUUAAUGUUGGAAGAAAUGAACAACUUCUUAUGAUAUAUAUAUAUAUAUAUAUAUAUAUAUAUAUAUAUAUAUAUAUAUAUAUAUAUAUGUGUGUGUGUGUGUGUGUGUGUGUGAGAUAAAAGAUUUCAAAAGGAACAAUCCCUUGGUCAAAAAACAGAAAACAUAUAGAAACAUAUAUUGAGAAUAAUAUCUUAUUAAAAAAGAAUAAUGUCUUGGUGGGAAUGGGAAACGAGUAAGAACAUUGAAUAUGACAAUACCACAUAUGGUUAAGUAAGGCUAUUCUCUAAUCUUUUAUCCUUGUUGAACCUCUUUCAUUGAAAAAUAAUCCAAAUGACUCAUAAAAUAUAGUGUUUAUAUGGAUGGUAUUAAGAUAUAAAUUAGGCUACAAUGAAAGUUAAUUAUAACUUUAAUGUUGGAAGAAAUGAACAACUUCUUAUGAGAAAGGGCAACACCUAGAAAGUCAAUAAGAUUAAUUAUCUUAAUAAUAGAAAGAAAGUUCAUUCUUAUGAAAUUGAAUCAAAGAGAUAAAUUUCAAUUUUGAAGUAAACAUAAUUAUUUUUCUAUUUUUGUUAAAGAAUUAACAAAAUUUAUCAUGUAAGAAUCAAAGAAGAAUAGCUACUAUUCAUGCAACUGGUCUGAUCUUGUUGUAACAAAACUUAUGAUUAUUUUUCUUCUAUGUAUUGGAAGUUACCAUAAAUUAAUUUCCAACUGGUCAUGUGACUAUUGCAUCAAAUAGAGCCCACUAGAUAAAAUUUUUGUUGACGUAUUUCCACAUCAAAUUUCUUUAAUUUAAACAUGUUUAUGGAUGUAAGUUUGCAUUGAAUAAAUUUCAACCAUAGAUAUGCACUAACAAUAUUUAAAUAAAGAUGAUAAUGUAUUUAAAUUUUUAAUAAAAACUAAGUUGAAUUUUUCAACGAACAUUUGAUUUCCUUCUGCUCACCUAGUGUUAGCAUUAAAAUACAAAAAAAGCUCACCUAAUACUUGCAUUAAAAUACUAGAAACUUAUUCUUGUGAGCUUAUCCUUGCACCUUCUUAGAAAAAAAACAAGAUUGAUUCUUAUUGGUCAGAAGAUAAGAACAAAAACUUCUAAUAAAUUAUAUUUGAUAUAAACUCGUCAAUCAUCACAUAAAAAACAAUUUCUCCAGAGGGCGAUGACCCCAUCAACCCCCAUAAGCUAACCAAGCAGCUCGACCUUAACAUCCUAAGCAAAGCGCAACAAUACUGAUUCAAGCUUCACAAUCCAACACCAAUAAAGACAAGAACAAUUGACACUCAAAAAAAUUAUUUCUUUUAACUUUUUCCCUUUAAGUUGAAUUUGAUUUUAAAAUAGUGUUAUCUCAUUAAUUAUUUUACAAAAUAUAUAUAUGUUAUAUCUUAAAAUUGGUUAGUAAAUUAUAUUACAAUUAUCAAAGAUAUUGCCAUAUAUAAAAUACAACUUAAUAAAUCUUAAGCAUAACACAAAGCACAACAACAAGAUAUAUUAAUUUAAGUUACUAAGAGCUUAUUUAGUUGUGUGAUUUAAAAAUGGUUUUCUAUUUUAAAAAAUAAAAAAUUAUUUUAAAAAAUUUAUAACACUAUUUUAAUGUUGUUCUUUGGAAACAAUGUUUAAAGACAAAGUAACAUUGAGAACAAUUUUUAAAGAACAAGUAGGAGUUGUUUUUAUUAGUUUUUAAAAAACAAAAAAUAUAUAAACUCAUUUUACUAUGUUUUUUGAAACUUGUUUUUAAAUUAAAGAAUAAAAAAUAAUUUUUCAAAAUAAGUUUCAAAAAAUAUGACCAAACAAACCCUAAAUGGUCGGGGUUUAAUAUUAAAGAGAAAAAAAGUUAAUUUAAGAGUUUGCAUGCAGGUAGACAUCAGGCUGUAAAACUGGUUUACUAAGACACUCAUUUUAUUUAUAUAUUCUUCUAUGUGCAUGCAUUGACCAUGUGGUUAGGAUGUGUUGCACCAAAAUCUAAUUAUUAACUUGCAGUUCGAAAUCACAAACCAGCUGUAUGUAUUAGAAACAGACCAUAUUGGGUCAUGCACAUUCUCCGUCAUUUUCUAUUUCCUAGCAACAUAUAUGACCAAAUGAAAUUGUUAUAUCCUAAUUAUAUUUUUUAAUUAGGCGAUAAAUGAAUGGAUUCCUUUUAAAAAUAAUAAUUGAGAUAUUAGGGAUGAUUAAAAUAUUAUUAGAAGAAAACAACCACUAUCUUCCAGAUUAAUCACAGCUUAAUAAAUGUAAAUAAAUUAAUCUGACACUACAUUUUUCUUUAUUUGUUUUGGUUUCUUUACAAGAAUGUUUCUUUAUGUAUUCUUGUUGAAUCUAUAAAAUAUCAUCUAUAAACAUUCUUUUUGAAUGAUUAAGAAUCCGAUAUUUAAAUGAUUGUGUGGACCUUGCAUUUUUGCUCAAUGCGUUCCCACUCAAUGUUGAACUCUCUUUUUAUUUAUUUAAUGAAAAAUAUGAUUUUUUUUUUUAGAAAAGACUUGGAGUCGCCACUUAUUUUUGUUUUAUUUUUAAAAAUGGUAAACAAAAUAAGAAAGAAAACCCUAAGUGUGACUCCUUAUUUUGGAAAAAGUGGUAUGUGAAAAAUCAGAUCGGGCUCGGGGAUUAGGUUACUUAUCGGGAAGGUACAGUAAGGACCAUGACACCCCUCUAAGUCCCUAAAGUCGGGUCUCUAUUGAUAAAAGGAAGCUGACAUGGCAAUCAAUAAGGAAAUCAAUGGGUACUCAAAUCGAUCAUGCACAUAUGGAAAUUGGAAUUUUAGAAAUUGGAAAUUAAAUUCGAAAAUGGGAAAAUUGGAAUCUCAAAAAUUGGGAAUUGAAUUUGGAAAUCAGAAUUUUGAAGAAUUAUUUAAAGAUGAAAAUUUUAAAAGUAAGUAAAUAAAUAAAUAAAUAAAAUAAUAAUGAUUGGAUAAAUAAAUGCGAAAAUUGGAAUUUUGGAAAUCGGAAAUUAUAUUUGGAAUUUGGAAAAUCAGAGUUUUGGAAAUUGAGAAUUAAAUUUGGAAAUUGGAAUUUUGAAGAAUUAUUUAAAGAUAGAUUUUUUUAAAUAAAUAAAUAAAUAGAAUAAUAAUAAUAAUCGAAAUAAUAAUAAAAUAAAUGAACAUGAACAUUAAAAUUUUUUGAAAUAGAAAAUUAAAUUUGGAUGUCGGAAAUUUGAAAAAUUGUUUAAAAAAACGGAAUUUAGAAAAUAAAUAAAUUAAUUAAAAAAAAAGUAUUGUAGUGAAGGUCAUCAAACUCAAAGUCUUAUUCAUGACCCAAUUUCCCAUAUUUGAUUAAGAAUCCAUGCAACAUUACUAUGGGCCACCUGAGCCAAAAUGUCUACACGUUCCACUCUUACACCAUCCCAUUGCAGCUCUCACCACAACAGCCACAACAGUGGAAGUAAAAAUAAAAAAUAAAAAAUAAAAAAAUCACGCCACAUGAGUUGACCAUGAUGUCACCUCUUCCAACACAAGCAAUACACUUCCAAUUGGAACUCUGAAAGCAAUAGUCACUUCAGCACGACAGCGAGGUAGACUAGGGCAGUAGGUGUUGAAUGAGUGAUGAAUCCGAAAAGAAUGGGUUUGUAACAUAAAUGAUUAAUCUUACAACAUCACACAAGAGAUAUGAAUCCAUAUUUACGCACAUAUCCAAACAAAACCAUAUGAACAAUAGAUGAGACCAUGCCACAACAAACCAUUAUAAGAGUAAGAAAAGGAAAAAAGAGAGAGAAAAAAAAAGACAAACUUCAGCAUAAAAAAAAACAAAUCUAGAAGGUAGUGAAGUGAUGUAUGGAGAGUCACCGUGAUCAUACCGAAACAAACUCACAAACAACGCAAAAUAAUCACAUAAAAAAACAAAAGGGUAAUAGGAUGACCAAUAAUAAUCCAUGAACCUUAUCAGUCUUACCAGGUAAAGCUUUCUAUCCACUGGAGUUUUCUAGACUUUCUUUCCAACUUCCCUCCUCCUCUUUCCUGCUUCAGCCUAUCCCCGAAAAGCUUGCUCUGCCCAUUUUUCUACAACCAACCCAACAGCUAGCUUAGCCCCCAAAAAGAUGAAGACGCUCCCCCCUAUUUAUUCUCUCCCGUUCAGCUCAUUUCCCGCCCAGUUUUUCUCUCCAGAUUUUUUUUCCCCUAGUCCUCACAUGCUCCCUACUCCUUGCUCAACCAAUCUGUCACCAUCUCAACCACCACCAUGGCGAGGUAGUGGUGUCGUCCUCCAUGCGUCUCAUGCAUGCUAAUAUUUGAAAAAGUCGAUCCCCCUUCCUCCUACAACAAGCUGCUAGCUAUCCGGGUGGCUAGCAUGAAGGGUCUACAAAUAUGCCCCUCUUCAGUAGAGUUCACGAACGUAAAGAAAUAUGAACACUAGAGUGAAAAGAAAGUGUGAAUAGUGAGCGAAAUGAAGUGAACUUUACCGAAAAUGGGCAUAUUUGUAGACCCCUCAUGCUAGCCACCCGAAUAGUUGGUAGCUUGUUGUAGGGGGAGGGGAGACCGACUUCUUCAAAUAUUAGCAUGCAUGAGACGCAUGGAGGAGGGCACCACUACCUCGCCAUGGUGGUGGUUGAGAUAGUAACAGAUUGGCUGAGCAAGAAGCAAGUGAAGACUAGGGGGAAAAAAAAGAUCUGGAGAGAAAAAAUAGGUGGAAAAUGAGCUGAACGAGAGGGAAUAAACAGGGGAGAGCAUCUUCAUCUUUUUGGAGGGUGACCUAGCUAUCGGGUUGGUUGUAGAAAAACAGGCAGAGCAAGCUUUUCGGGAAUACGUCGAAGUAGGAAAGAGAAUGAAGAAAGUUGGAAAGAAAGUCCAAAAAACUCCAAUGGAAGGAGAGCUUUACCUGAUAAGACUGAUCAGGUUCAUAGAUUAUUACUGGUCAUCCUACUACCCUUUUGUUUUUUUACGUUAUUAUUUUGCAUUGUUUGUGAAUUUGUUUCGGUAUGAUCAUAGUGACUCUCCAUACAUCAUUUCCCUACCUUCUAGAUUUGUUUUUUUUUUGUGCUAAAGUUCGUCUUUUUUUUUUCUCUCUCUUUUUCUUUUUCUUACUCUUACAAUGGUUUGUUGUGGCAUGGUCUCAUCUAUUGUUCAUAUGGUUCUGUUUGGAUGUGUGUGUAAAUCUGGAUUCAUAUAUCUUGUGUGAUGUUGUAAGAUUAAUUGUUUAUGUUACAAAUCCAUUCUUUUUGAAUUCAUCACUCAUUUCACACCCGUUGCCUUGGUCUACCUUGCUGUCGUGUUGGAGUGGUUGUUGCUUUUAGAGCUCCAAUUGGAAGUGUAUUGCUUGCAUUGGAAGAGGUGACAUCAUGGUCAACUCAUGUGGCGUGUUUUAUUUUAUUUUAUUUUUACUUCCGUUGUUGUGGUUGUUGUGGUGAGAGCUGCAAUGGGAUGGUGUAAGAGUGGAAGGUGUAGACAUUUUGGCUCAGGUGGCCCAUAGUAAUGUUGCAUGGAUUCUUAAUCAAAUAUGGGAAAUUGGGCCAUGAAUAAGACUUUGAGUUUGAUGACCUCCACUCAUUCCACCACCAAACCUUUUUUUUUUAAUUAAUUUAUUUAUUUUUUAAAUUUCAUUUUUUUAAACAAUAUUUCAAAAUUCCGACAUCCAAAUAUAAUUUCCGAUUUAAAAAAAUUUCAAUGUUCACGUUCAUUUAUUUAAUUAUUAUUUCUGUUAUUAUUAUUAUUCUAUUUAUUUAUUUAUUUAUUUUUAAAAAAUUCAAUCCUUAAACAAUUAUUCAAAAUUCCGAUUUCCAAAUUUAAUUCUCAAUUUCCAAAACUCCGAUUUUCCAAAUUCCGAAUUUAAUUUCCGAUUUCCAAAAUUCCAAUUUUCGCAUUUAUUUAUCCAAUCAUUAUUAUUUUAGUUAUUAUUAUUAUUAUUAUUAUUUUAUUUAUUUACUUACUUACUUUUAAAAAUUCCAUCUUUAAAUAAUUCUUCAAAAUUCUGAUUUCCAAAUUCAAUUCCCAAUUUUCGAGAUUCCAAUUUUCCCAUUUCCGAAUUUAAUUUACAAUUUCUAAAAUUCCAAUUUUCGCAUUUAUUUAUUCAAUCAUUAUUAUUUUUCGUUAUUAUUAUUAGUUUAUUAUUUACUUAUUUAUUUUUAAAAUUCAAUCUUUAAAUAAUUCUUCCGAAAUUCCAAUUCUUAAAUUUAAUUCCCAAGACUCCAAUUUCCAAAUAAUUUUCGAGACUCUAAUUUUCAAAUAAAUUUCAAAAAUCUAGUUUUCACUCGAACAAUUUUAAUUCCAUUCCGGUUCUCAAAUAAUCUGUUGUUUUUCUUGAUUUUACAUAAGCAUGAAUGUAAUUUUUCACAAUUCCACAAUAAUGGAAUAUGUGAGACUAAUUCAUGCAAGAUAGAUUGGGUUUUGGUGGGGGGCCCAACAUUGGUGUUUUUUUCCUCUAAAAAUAAAUUUGAUUGAAUUGAAUUGUGAUAUCUGUUGAUUUCUCACUCUGUUUAGUGGCAUGUGUGACAUAGUCUGUUUUGUUAAUUGUGCACUAAACCCAUUUCUUGAUAGUGCAUUAUGACUCGUGGCCCAGGUGCGCAUCCGCUCCUAUUCUGGUCAUUCUCUAUGCAUGUUCUGAUUCCCAUAUGUGCAUGAUCAAUUUAAGUACCCGUUGAUUUCCUUAUUGAUUGCCACGUCAGCUUUCUUUUAUUAGUAGAGACCCGACUUUAGGGACUUAGAGGGGUGCUACGGUCCUUACUAUACCUUCUCGAUAAGUAACUUGACCCCCAAACCCAAUUCGGUUUUUCACAUACCACUUUUUCCAAAAUAAGGAGUCAUAGUUAGAGUUUUCUUUCUUAUUUUGUUUACCCUUUUUAAAAAUAAAACAAAAAUAAGUGGUGACUCCAAGUCUUUUCUAAAAAAAAAAAAAAUCAUAUUUUUCAUUAAAUAAAUAAAAAGCAAGUUCGCCAUUGAGUGGGAACGCAUUGAGCUAAAAUGCUGGGUCCAUAAAAUGGCGACUCCACUGAGGAUGAUUUAGAAGGUCAAACUUGAACUUAAGAUGAAGCAAAUGCGACAUUUGAUGGGUCGAUCAGUGGGUACCUAUCUUUUAAUUGCACAUUGAGAGUUCUUGAUAUCAUUGGAUGCAUGCUUGGAUAUUGUAUUCAUUUUGAGACAUUGAUAUGUUGGUUAUGAUGAUUGAUUUGUCUUGAUUGAGGAUUCCGAGAUAGCUAUUUUUUUUGUGCUUCAUUGCUAUAUUUGUUUGGGAUAUUGACAUACUGAUUGUAUCAAUUUCUUAUCUUGCCUUGCUUAGCAUAGUGACCCUGAUUCUUGCCAUGAUUGUUCUGCUCACUUCAUAUGCAUAGACUCACUAUUGUACACCAUUUGACUUGAUGUGUUGUUUUCUUUGGCUUGUGUAUUAUCCUGAUCGUCUUUGAGCAUGAUGCUUGUAUUAGUAUUCAUUUGAUCGUCAUAGCUUGUAUGUGUACAUGAGCAAUAUAUCAUGUACUCUGCCUGGUUGUAUGUCGCAUGACUGCACUCCUUUGCAUGUUGCUUGUUUGUGUGGGUAGCACAUCUAUCCCCUUAUCUCCAACGCUCUGGGUUUCGAUUAUUUCCUUUAUUUCGGUUUUCACUUUUGCAAGUGUGAGGCCUUGUGUGUGCUUGUACUUUGACCGAGGAAGAGGUUAGGAGUAGGGUCUAGCGACGGGCUAUAUCGAUGUUUGGGAGCAUUCUGGAGGUGACCGACACAUUGACGUCAAUUGGAGUCCGAUCAUUGAAGACCUGUAUAGCCUGGAGCUAGGUUUCAUGGAUAUUUGUGCGGCCAGUGUGUUUCCCUUUUUGAUUUAGCUUCAUAGAGUUUUCGGAUGCACCCACACCGCUCACUGCGCACUCUAGUUGACCAUUGAGUGUUGAGAGUUUUGAGAGGUUUCGCCAUAGAAAACCUCCUGAGAUAUCGAGGUAGUGCAUGUGUGGAGGUGAUGACCACCUUGCAUAGAAGCGCCCAUUCUUUUCGGAGGCGUGCAGAGGGUUGCGUACCGUCGGAGGGUACGAUCGCUUCUGUUAGGGAUCCUUUAAAGUCCACCCCUCUUCUUUUCAGAGCCACCUUGACCUUGUAGGUCGAGCCUUAGAUAUUUCAAUCAGGAAUUUCUUCCCUAACACGUGGGUGCAUCUGUGGGCCUUCAAAGUUACUUCAGUAGUGAUAGGUUUAGUUACCUUCGUAGUGGUCUCUUAUACAUCUGCUCAGGAUUGGAUAUCACUUUGAUUGCUUACGAGUUACCUUUCGACAUAUUUGAUAGACUUUCUUUGUGGAGAUUUUCCUAACCUUGUAUCUUAUCUAGUAUUUCCAAUAUUGUAGGAGCAUUGAUACAUAGGGUUUGGGUUCGACUUCUUGGAUCCAGGUUAGGGGUAGAUUGAUCAGAGUAUCAGACCCGUUAGACCAGAAAUCAGAUCAUAGAAAUAUGGACUCACAGAUGGUUACCGUUGGCAGCAGGCCUAGGAGGUUUCGCCUCAGGAUGGCGCACAGUAUGACCCUACAGUGCCGUCAUCCCCUCCACCUAAUCAGUCAGCACCACUAGCCAUACCUUUCACUCUGCAUAGUCAGACCGAGGUUGUCCCGACUCCUAUCAUCGUGCCUACCCCAACCUCAGAGGACCCACAUGCUUGUAUGGAUAGGCUCGAUAAGAAGUUGAGACAAUUGAGGAGUUCAGACAGACCUGUUACUUGGGACGAUUUUGAUGGACUACCAGUGGCCAGUUUGCCGGCCAAGUUCAGGAUGCCAGAGAUUGAGCGAUACACGGGCAUUGGCUGUCCUUGCAUCCAUUUGAGGCUUUAUAGUACUAUCAUGAGGGCCCAUGGACUAGAUGAGGUUCAGAUGAUUAUGUUUUUCCCCAUGUGCUUGAACGGUGUGGCGUAGUGAUGGUUUGCUUUAUUGGAUACAUCCCAAAGUCGGACUUGGGAUGAUUUGGCCUAGGAGUUUUUGAGACAAUUCACAUUUAAUACUGUCAUUGACGUCUCGAGGAGAGAGUUAGAGGCAUUGAGACAGAGGCCAGAGGAGUCGAUCACCUCAUUUAUCUCCCGUUGGAGGGAGAAGAUUUCAUAGGUUAUUAAUAGACCAUCGGAGAAGGAUCAUAUUAGCAUGAUUAUGAGAAGCUUGCAACCUCGAUUUGCUAGACACUUGAUGGGAUUUCCUCAUAGAGAUUUUGGAUCUUUGGUACAGGCCUUGUAUGGUAUAGAGGAGGGCAUAGCCAGAGGAUUAUGGUCUGAGUCUUCUCUUUCUAAUUCGAAGGGGAAGAAACCUUUAAGAUGAUAGAGGCUAGUUGAUGUGAGCGCCCCUAGUUCUACCAGCCAGAGGCCUCCUAUGCGUCAUUAGUCAGUGCCACAGCUUCCUGAGACUCAUCCUUCAUAUCCACCUCAACAGUACAGGCCACGAGCGCCUCGUCCGACUUUUGAUCAUGCUUACAUGCCUCAGACACUAGUUUUGCCUUACUAUGCCACUCAGGGCAUCGAGAGACCACCUGUUUCAUAUACAGCCACAGGAUAGCCAUGCUAUGCGGCGUAGUUUACCGCAAGACCUACAUCUUCUUAUCCCAGGCUUAGAGCUCAACAGACUUCUGUUCCUUUUGUUUUGAGGACGCAGAUAUAGUUCUCGCAGUUAAGCAUGCCGUUGAGCCAGGCUAUUCGGAAACCUAUAGAGGUUGGGUUGUUGAUUGCUCUCACUCUUAGGCCACCACCUCAGCCUCUUCCUUCUCGGUUCAGGAUGGAUUUGCACUAUGCAUACCAUCAAGGACCUAGACAUGAGACUGACCGUUGUACCGCUCUGAGACAUGCCAUCCAAGAUCUGAUCGACCAGGGUUUGGUUCACUUAGAUUAGCCGAGUGUAACCACAAACCCACUAUCGACCCACACCACACAUGCGGUUCCCCCACCAACCAAUAACAUUCAUUUUCUGGAUUUUGCUGGGUUUGACGACCAUAUCCAUAUGUUGAGCCGGGAUGACACAGAGCGAGAGCCCAUAGUGUCAGAUGGGAUUUAUGAGAUGAGUGGGGUGACUUUGGGACCUUAGAUACCCGCUCCAUUCAGAUUCGUCCCUAAGGCGGUAUCGGUACAAACGACCACUAUCGAGCGAUUGACUUUCUCACAUUAUAGUGUUCAGACGCAUUUUGUUUUGAUUCCAGAUGUUGAUGGGGUUCAGACUUCUUAUGUUGAUGUUUAUCAGACUCCAUAUGUCGAUGAUGUUCAUACUUUAGAUGUGCAGUAUGUUAUCCACGGAGGUAGGGUAGUACGGCAGCAGCCCCCCGCUGCCGCUAGACCCUUGAAGGGAACGUCAUCCCAAGAGGAGGUCGAGAGGGAGGAUGAUCAGAUUCUGAUGCAGUUACAAAGCACUCAUGCUUGUAUUUCCAUCUAGAGCUUGUUAGCAUCUUCUAGUAAUCACCGAGAUGCUUUGAUUUGAGCCUUGAGCCAGAUCAGAGUUGAAACUACCACCACUCCGGAGGGAUUGAUUCAUAUGGUGAUGGCUGGCAGAGCCGCAUGCAUAGUAUUCUCUGAUGACGGCUUGCAACCAGAGAGUGCGAACCAUACAUGUCCAUUUUAUAUAUCAGUUGGUUGUUUAGGCUAUCGAGUCUCAUUUGUCAUUUUGGAUAACGACUCGGCCCUGAACGUUUGCCCUCUGGCCACUGCCAUCGCCCUUGGUUAUGCGUCCUCUGACUUUGGUCCCUUCACUCAGAUAGUUCGAGCAUACGAUAACACUCAAAGGGAGGUCAUGGGCACUCUAGAGAUUGAGUUGCUGAUAAGUCCGAUCACAUUUGUUACUUUGUUCCAGGUUUUGAAGAUUCCUACAUCAUUUAACCUGCUAUUGGGUCGACCUUGGAUUCACAAAGUCGGGGUCAUUCCUUCUUCCCUUUAUCAAAAGGUGAAGUUCAUUUGCGAUGGUCAGGUCAUCACAGUGCGGUCUAUAGGAGAUAUGUUUAUUUCUACUCAGCCGGUGCUUCAGAUUAGUCACAAUGAUGAUGACUUACUUCUGAGUGGAUUCACAUUCGACGAGGUGCAAACCCUAAAGAUGGAGAAUUUUUUCCGAGACUUCGUAGCUAUGUCGUUUGACUAGCAUGGUAGCACGGUGGUGCUCGAUAUGAUGAGGAGUAUGUCUUAUCUUCCCGGUAUGGGAUUGGGGCGACGUCAGCACGGGCCUAGUGAGUUCAUGGCUAUCCCCGAUCACGAUGUACCGUUCGAACUCGGGUUCAUCCCCACUGAGGCUAAUUAUCGAUAUAUGGCGCAACUGCGCAAGGAGAUGGGUGAGAGCCCAACUGACUCACACGCCUUUUGAUUAUCCUGUUCGCUCAUACACCAUGAGCUUAACAGAAUACUUUGUGAAGGCGUCAGUGCCGCAGAUGCCUUCAAAUGGGAUAAUUGGGGGACUCGAAACUACUCAAGAGGCCAAGCUUCAGCGCCUCGUCUAUCAGCUACAGUUGAGUGAUGGAGUUCCUGGCACUUCGAUAUCUGUGUUGGCUGCCCUAUCAUCUCCAGAUCGUAUGAGCCUUAUGACGCUUUAUUUCCCGGAUGAGAUCAACGAGCAUGAGACAUUUGCUCGAGAUUGGAAACAUAGUGGACAGAGCCAUUCCACAUAAAGAGUACGUCGAUGAGAUGCUCGCGAUGAGCUUAAGCCAGAUCAAGGAGAUAGUUCAGCCUGGGCUCCCUUCACCAUUUGAUCUUUUCGGGGUGUCCGUCAUCCAGAUUGCUGAGGAGAUCCCGACUGCUUCUACUCCGGAGUUUACUGAGGGUGCCAUAGCUGUUAAUGACUUGUUUGAUGGCCCUGUUGGCCUAGUUGAGGGAGCGUCCGACUUUGUGGACCCACUUAUUUCAUUUGAUGUUUUAUCGGGAUUUGUUUCCCUUCAUGAUGAUGUUCUUGGCUCUUCAUUUAUGGAUUUGAGUAUUUUUGAGUAUUUGCCUGCCUCUUGUGAUAUUGCUUUAUCUACACCAUCUUCACCCACAUCACAGAUAUUUGACAUUGAUGAUGAGAUUGUACAACAUGAUUCAAAUGAUGACUCAUCAUCCGCUUCUGAUUCGAACCCCAUUGAUUAGAGAGUUUCACCUACUAUAGGGGAUGCUGAGAUUGUUGAUUUCAGCACAACAGAUCAACUUAGGGAGUUGAGGAUCAGAUCGGAUUUAUCUACUGAUAAGAGGGAUAACCUCAUCCAAUUGCUCAAAUCAUACUUGGACAUUUUCGCAUGGUCUUAUGAGGACAUGCCGAGUCUUGAUCCAUCUAUCGUCCAACAUCAUUUGCCACUUCUACCCUAUGCCAGACCGGUUAAGUAGAAAUUGAGACAGUUGCACCCUCGUUGGAGUUUGCAAGUGAAGGAGGAGAUCCAAAAGCAGCUCAGUGUGAGAUUUUUUUCAAUGGUCGAGUACCCGGAAUGACUCACCAAUGUCGUCAUUGUUCUAAAAAAGGACGACAAGGUGAGAGUCUGUGUUGAUUUUCGAGAUCUCAACAAGGCCAGUUCUAAGGAUGAUUUUCCUCUCCCACACAUCGACAUGCUAGUUGACAAUACAACAGGUCAUUCGAUGUUGUUCUUCAUGGAAGGAUUUUCCGGGUAUAGUUAGAUCUUGAUGGCUCUAGAGAACAUGAAGAAGACGUCAUUCAUUAUCGAGUAGGGUACUUAUUGCUAUAGAGUCAUGCCAUUCGAGUUGAAGAAUGCAGGAGCCACUUAUCAGAGAACAACAACCACACUCUUCCAUAACAUGAUGCAUUGAGAUGUCGAGGUUUAUGUAGACGACAUGAUAGUGAAAUCCCGAGAUAGAUCAGAUCACCUAACAACUCUGGAGAGGUUCUUUGAGAGGAUCAAGCGGUUUAGAUUGAGAUUGAAUCCUAGGAAGUGCAUUUUUGAAGUGACUUCUGGGAAGCUCCUAGGAUAUAUGGUCAGUGAGAGAGGCAUAGAGGUAGAUCUGGAUAAGAUUAGAGCCAUCUUUGACAUGCCUGCACCGAGAACAAAGAGAGAGGUCAAAGGCUUCUUGGGUAGACUUCAGUACAUCAGCAGAUUCAUCGCCAGAUUGAUAAACAUCUGUGAGCAGCCCAAUUUUCUACUCUUGAGGAAGAGUCAACCUACUGUUUGAGAUGAUUAGUGUCAGCAUGCAUUUGAGAGGAUCAGAGAGUACUUGUUGUCACCUCUAGUAUUGGCGCCUCCUACACCAGGCCAUCUUUUACUCCUAUACCUAUCAGUCUCAGACGUAGCAUUGGGAUGCAUGUUGGCUCAAGUCGAUGAUUCAAGCAAGGACCGAGCCAUUUAUUAUCUAAGUAAAAGAAUGUUAGAUUACGAGACGAGAUAUGUCAUGAUUGAGCGCUAUUAUUUGGCAUUGGUUUAGGCCACUCGUCGACUGAGACAUUAUGUGACCGAGUAUUCAGUGCACUUGAUAUCCCAUCUAGAUCCUCUUAGAUACUUGUUUGACAUACCUGCCUUGGUUGGUCGCCUCAUGAGAUGGUUGGUACUUCUGACUGAGUUUGACAUCCAUUAUGUCACUUAGAAGUCCAUCAGAGGGAGCAUUAUCGCAGAUCACCUAGCCUCAUUACCAGUUUCUGAUGGUAGGACUAUUGAUGAUGAUUUUCCAGAUGAGGAUGUUGCUACUGUGCUUAGUCUGUCAGGUUGGCGCAUGUACUUUGAUGGUGCAGCCAACCAUUCCAAAUAUGGGAUAGGAGUUUUGUUAAUAUUCUCUCAUGGUGACCACAUUCCUAGAUCUAUUCGUUUGGCAUUCUCGAAUUGACACCCAGCCACGAACAACAUUGUUGAGUAUGAGGCUUGUAUCUUGGGAUUAGAGAUGAUCCUUAAGUUUGGGAUUAGAUAGAUGGAGGUGUUUGGUGACUCCAAUAUGGUAUUAAGAUAGAUUCAAGGUGAGUGUAAGACUAGAGAUGUGAAGCUUAGGUCUUACCACGCAUAUUUGGAGCUACUGGUUGGGAGAUUUGAUGAUUUAAGAUACACACAUCUACCUAGAGCGCAGAACCAGUUUGUUGAUGCCUUAGCUACUUUGGUUUCCAUGAUUGAUAUUCUUGUCGAUGCCAUUGUUUGCCCUUUACUGAUCAAGUCGAGAUCUGCUCAUGCCUACUAUUACCUAAUUGAUGAUGUAGAGCCAGAUGAUGGUUUGCCCUGGUACCAUGACAUAUAUCACUUUCUGAGACUUGGCGUAUAUCCUAAGGCCGCCAUGACCAAGGCUAAGAAGGCAUUUGAGAUAGUUGGCUGCCCGAUUUGUGAUUUGUGGCAAGACACUAUACAGACGAUCAGUUGAUGGGAUGUUGCUAUUAUGCUUAGACCACGCCUUUACUGAUCUAGUGAUGAGAGAGGUUCAUGCAGGAAUCUGCAGACCACAUAUGGAAGGGCAUAUGCUAGCUCGUAAGAUCAUGAGGACUGGCUAUUUCUGGUUGACCAUGGAAACAGACUGUUGCCAGUUUGUUCAGAGAUGUCCUGAGUGCCAGAUACACGGUGACCUCAUUCACGUGCUUCUUCAGAAUUACAUGCGUUGACUUCGCCGUGGCCAUUUUUAGUAUGGGGUAUAGACAUUAUUGGGAAGAUUUUACCGAAGUCUUUCAGUGGGCAUGAGUUCAUCUUGGUCGCCAUCUAUUACUUCACCAAGUGGGUGGAGGUUGCUUCGUAUGCAAGAUUGACGUCAUUUGAAGUUGCUAGUUUCAUCAGAUCACACAUUAUUUGUCGCUAUGGAGUCUCUCAUGAGUUGAUUUCCGAUAAAGAGGUACAUUUCACAGCAGAGGUUGACACCUUAGUGCAGCGAUAUGGCAUCCGACAUCUUAGGUCAUUUGCGUACAGGCCGUAGACGAAUGGAGCAGUAGAGGUCGCCAAUAAGAAUAUUAAGAGGAUCUUACGAAGAAUGGUUGGGACUUCUCGGGAUUGGUCAGAGAAAUUCCCUUUCGCAUUGUGGGCUUAUCGAAUUUCUUUUCGCACCUCCAUAGGAGCCACACCCUACUCUUUGCUGUAUGGUAUGGAGAUAGUGCUACCAGUUGAGAUUGAGAUGGGUUCAUUGAGGAUAGCAUUAGAGCGGCAGAUUCCAGAGGCAGAUUGGGCUCAGGCCCGAUUAGAUCAACUCAAUCUCCUAGAUGAUAGGAGAUUGAGGGCAGCAGACCAUGUUCGCUCAUAUCAUUAGAGGAAGAUGACCCGUGCUUUCAAAAAGCGGGUCAAGGCUUAACCACUAUGGAUAGGUGACUUGGUUCUGAAUGUCAUCAAGGGAUUGAUAAGAGAUCCUAGAGGGAAGUUCAAACCCAAUUGGAGCGGACCUUACUUCAUCAAGGAGUUAACCCUAGAGAACGCUACAUGGUUGAUGGAUCUAGAUGGAAACCGAUUCUCGGAGCCGAUCAACGUAGAUUAGCUAACGAGGUACUAUGUUUGAGACCAUGGUCAUAGGAUGGGUGGUCAUCAUUUCAGUUAGCCAUAUACCUUGUUAUUCCCCUUUGAUACAUAGACUGUUGCUAGCCCAUUGAGCCUCGUGUGUGCAUUAUAGCAUUUCUAUCUUAUUACCUUGCUCACAUUGUUACACCAGGAUUGGGGCCCUUUAGUGUGUGCAUGCGUUGUUUGGGAGCCUGAUAAGUCUUGGACCUACAAGUGCGUCUUUCUCUCAUUAUUUUUUCCUACCAUCACUCUAAUGCAUAUCAUCACAUCUCGUUGGCCAGGUUCUUCAUUCAUUCUCCUUUAUUAUAUCUACUGCUUGUUUUGCUUCAUAUUCUCUUCACCCUGAGUGGUAAUCCUCCUCAGUUCAUUGCAUGAAGGAUAGUCACAUCAUUUCCACCAUCUAUCCCACGGACACUGAUUCUGAGAUCCUUAGUUUGAGAAGGUUAUCUCGUCAGAGAUAGUUUUUGAGAGUGUGUCUAUCCAUUGUAGAUGUCAUAUUUGGGGAUCAUUUGUUUAUGAUUCAGGGUAUAUGCAUUUGUAUAUAUGUAAAAAAAAAAAAAAAAUGAAAAUGUAAAACAAAAGAAAAAAAUGAAAAUGAAAAGAAAAGAAAAAUAAGCAUGUGUGUAUGUGCAUAGUAUUCUCCAUCAUUGGGCAUGUAUAUUGAUGUUUGAGGGUUACUUCAUUAAGUAUGUUUGUUGAUGAGAGCUCGUAUGUGAGCUUUCCGAGACCGUUCAUUAUUUGUAUUCAGGUUUCAUGUAUUUUGAGAGUGAGAUGAGUGACUUUCUCUUAGGAGCUUUGUAUCAUUGUCCUUUCCAUCAUUACAUUCAUUGUUGAUGUGACUUCACCUCAUGUUGGAUUUGAGCGGAUCAUCAUUCCUCUUUGUGUUCUUCGCUUCACCAUCAUCCUCGUUUUUGCUUUUGAUUCAUCAUCAUCAUCUCACCCCUUGUCAUUUUCUUACAACGACUCUUUUAUUCCCAGUUUGACACUUCCUCCACAUCAUCCUUACACAUCUCAUUAUCAGAUCAAUUUUUUUUCAUUGCCUCGUUAUUGACAUCAUAUUCACAUUAGGCACCCUCAGGUCCGUGACUCACGAGAUUUUCUAUACAUGUGGCAUUUCAUACAUGAGGGCAUGGGUUUCUGUUCAUUUGGUAUUUUGGCCUAGUUUCCCUUCAUUUUUAUCACCCUAUCAUCCCAGUCUACGUUACGUCCCGUGUCUUAAGACCACCCUAAGGCCAUGAGAUCAGAUGUCAUCUUUGACAACCUAUAAUUGGACUGGUGUUUGAGAUCUGAUUGACAUUUAGAUAUUGUCAUGCUUCCUCUUCUGGGAGAUGUCUUUCUGAUGAUUAGAUUUGUUUCAAUUAUGUUUGGAUUACCAGGAUUACAUGUUCGAUGAUAGAUGAUUCCAUGUCACCUAAUUUUAUGAUCUAUCACAUAUUUGGUGUCAUACUAGGGCAUAUUCCGUUUCGGGCGAGAUUUACAAAUCUUCACGGAGUUGCAUGCUUAUCCCCACUUGCGAGAUAUACGCCGAAAUGAUUGACUGGUUCGCUAUUUUAUGAUGAUCCAUUAGUGGAGCCUCUGUGGAGCCGUUCAGCCAGCCCCAUAUUUCUCGGUAUUUGGUUAUUAUCAUGCUUCUUAUUCCGAGAGGCGUUCCCUAGAUGUUUGGAUUUGAUUUGGAUCACGGAGAUCACAUGCUCGAUGAUAUAUGAUUCCAUGUCACUUGAUUUUCUGAUUUAUCACAUAUUCGAUGUCAUACUGGGGCAUAUUCCGUUUCGGGAGAGAUUUAUAGAUCUUCAUGGAGUUGCAUGCUUAUCCCCACUUGCGAGAUGUACGUCGAGAUGAUUGACUGGUUCGCUAUUUUAUGAUGAUCCCUCAGUGGAGCCUCUGUGGAGCCCUUCGGUCAGGUCCACAUUUCUCGGUAUUUGGUUACUAUCAUGCUUCUUAUUCCGAGAGAUGUUCCUUAGAUGUUUGGAUUUGAUUUGGAUCACGAAGAUCACAUGCUCGAUGAUAGAUGAUUCCAUGUCACCUGAUUUUUUGAUCUAUCACAUAUUCGGUGUCAUACUGGGGCAUAUUCCAUUUCGGGCGAGAUGUACGCCGAGAUGAUUGACUGGUUCGCUAUUUUAUGAUGAUCCCUCAGUGGAGCCUCUAUGGAGUUGUUAAGCCAGACCCAUAUUUCCCGGCAUUUGGUUACUGUCAUGCUUCUUAUUCCGAGAUACGCUCCCUAGAUGUUUGGAUUUGAUUUGGAUCAUGAAGAUCACAUGCUUGAUGAUAGAUGAUUCCAUGUCACCUAAUUUUCUGAUCUAUCACAUAUUCGGUGUCAUACUAGGGCAUAUUCCAUUUUGGGUGAGAUUUGCAGAUCUUCAUGAAGUUGCAUACUUAUCCCCACUUGCGAGAUGUACAUUGAGAUGAUUGACUGGUUCGCUGUUUUAUGAUGAUCCCUCAGUGGAGCCUUUGUGGAGCCGUUCAGCCAAACCCACAUUUCUCAGUAUUUGGUUACUAUCAUGCUUCUUAUUCCGAGAGACGUUCCCUAGAUGUUUGGAUUUGAAUUGGAUCACGGAGAUCACAUGCUCGAUGAUAGAUGAUUCCAUGUCACCUGAUUUUUUGAUCUAUCACAUAUUUGGUGUCAUACUGAGGCAUAUUCCCUUUCGGGAGAGAUUUAUAGAUUUUCAUGGAGUUGCAUGCUUAUCCCCACUUGCGAGAUGUACGCCGAGAUGAUUGACUGGUUCGCUAUUUUAUGAUGAUCCCUCAAUGGAGCCUCUGUGGAUCCGUUCAGCCAGGCCCACAUUUCUCGGCAUUUGGUUACUAUCAUGCUUCUUAUUCCGAGAGACUUUCCCUAGAUGUUUGGAUUUGAUUUGGAUCACGGAGAUCACAUGCUCGAUGAUAGAUGAUUCCAUGUCACCUAAUUUUCUAAUCUAUCACAUAUUUGGUGUCAUACUGGGGCAUAUUCCAUUUCGGGCGAGAUUUACAGAUCUUCACGGAGUUGCAUGCUUAUCCCCAUUUGUGAGAUGUACGCCGAGAUGAAUGACUGGUUCGCUAUUUUAUGAUGAUCCCUUAGUGGAACCUCUGUGGAGCCGUUUAGCCAGGCCCACAUUUCUCGGUAUUUGGUUACUGUCAUGCUUUUUAUUCCGAGAGACGUUCCCUAGAUGUUUAGAUUUGAUUUGGAUCAUGGAGAUCACAUGCUCGAUGAUAGAUGAUUCCAUGUCACCUGAUUUUCUUAUCUAUCACAUAUUCGAUGUCAUACUGGAGCAUAUUUCCAUUUCAGAUGAGGUUUACCAAUCUUCAUGGAGUUACAUGAUCAUCUCCACUUACGAAGUAUGAGCUGAGACGAUGACGUGUUCGUUACCUUAUCAUGAUCUCUCAGUAGAGCCUCUUUGGAGCCAUUCAGCUCGACCCACAUUUUUGGCAUUUGGUUGUCGCCAAGCUUAUUAUUCCGGAGACGUUUCAUAGAUGUUUGGGGUUUGAUUUGGGUCAUGGAGAUCGCACAUUUGAUGAUGGAUGAUUUCAUGUCACCCAAUUUUCGACUUAUCGUACAUCUAACGACAUACUGGGGCAUAUUUCCGUUUUGAUCGAGAUUUACAAAUCUCCAUGGAGUUGCAUGCUUAUCUCCACUUACGAGGUACACACCGAGAUGAUGACCUAUUUGUUAUCUUAUCAUGAUCCCUUAGUGGAGCCUCUCUGGAGCCAUCCAAUCAGAUUCAUAUUUUUUCGGCGUUUGGGUUGUUGUCAUGUUUCUCCUUCUGGGUUAUGGAUUUGGAUGACGAGGUUCGUGCUCCUGAUGAUAGAUGACUUGAGGCCAUUUGAUUUUUCCAACCUAUCACACAUUUGAUUCCAUACUGGGGCAUUUUUCCCCUUUCGAUCAAGAUUUGUAGAUCCCCACGAGUUUGCAUGAUCAUCCCCAUUUAUGAGAUACACAUCAGGUUGAUGAUUCGAUUUCAUUUUGUCUUGAUUCUUUCGUGGAGCAUUUUUCUUGAGUCAUUUCGUCAGGCUCACACUUUCUGAUUUUGUUGUGAUUUUUGGAUAGAGUCAUCUCAGGUGCAUAGGAUCCCAUAUCAUCAUUUCAGUGGGACACAUGUCAGAUCUUUUAUAUAUUCCCAUGGAGUUAUUCUCGGGUUAUCAUGAUAGACCGAGUACAUCUGACGCCAUAUUGGGGCAUAUUUCCUUCCUCCAGCUGUAGAGUUUCGAUGAUUUUUGCUAAGAUGAGCCACCAGAGGAACACGACUUCCGGGUUUUGACUGCCCUACUAUCCAUGACUUUUCAGUGGAUUGAGAUCGUAGUAGUUACCCUAGCAGACUAUUCUUUUGUGACCCCCUAGUGGAUCAUUUUUUCGGUAUGAUGAUGGAUUCUUCCAAUAAAACAUUUUGAGUUAGAGAAGUUCUACUUAUUGCGACACUUCAUCAGAUCUCGCGAUUUAGUCAGAUGGGUUGUGAGACUAAGUUCACAGUCGAUUUAAUCAUUUCGACUCGCUAGCAGAGCAUCCUUCAAGACUCAUGAAGUCUUUUUUGUCAUUUCCAUGGACUGAAAUCUGUAGUAGCAUGCUACAUUGGGGCAUAUUCCCCCCUCAUCAUCUCUAUUCAUCUUCAGUCUCGGCGUUCAGAGCCACCGUUUCUUCACAAUUUGGCGUUCAGAGCUAUAUCUUCAGUUUGGUGUUCCAGGUCACGCAUUCUUUUUAGCGUUCAGAGCCAUCAUCAUGUUCACAGUUUGGCGUUUAGAGUCACUAUCUCUUCUUAGUUUUGGUGUUCAGAGUCGCAUCUUCAUUUUGGCAUUUAGAGCCGUUAUUUCUGUUCAGCAUUCAUAGUUACUAUUUUUAGUUUGGUGUUCAGAGCCACCGUUUCUUCGUAUUUUGGCGUUUAGAGCCAUAUCUUCAGUUUGGCGUUCAAAGUCACACUUUCAUUUUGACGUUCAAAGCCAUCGUCAUCUUCUCAAUUUGGGUGUUCAGAGCCACCAUCUCUUCUUAGUUUGGGUGUUCAGAGCCACCAUCUUUUCUCAGUUUGGGUGUUCAGAGCCACCAUCUUUUCUCAGUUUGGGUGUUCAGAGCCACCAUCUUUUCUCAGUUUGGGUGUUCAGAGCCACCAUCUUUUCUCAAUUUCGGCGUUCAAAGCCACCAUCUUCUCAGUUUUGACAUUCAGAGCCACCAUCUUCUUAGUUUAGGCGUUCAAAGCCAUCAUCUUCUCAGUUUGAGCGUUCAGAGCUACCAUUUUCUCAGUUUUGACGUUCAAAGCCACCAUAUCUUCUCAGUUUCGGAAUUUUAAAGCCACCAUCUUCUCAGUUUCGGCGUUCAAAGCCAUCAUCUUCUCAAUUUGGGCGUUCAGAGCCACCAUUUCUUCUAAGUUUCGGCGUUUAGAGCCACCAUAUUCUCAGUUUCGGCGUUCAGAGCCACCAUCUUCUCAGUUUGGGCAUUCAAAGCCACCAUCUCUUCUCAGUUUGAGCGUUCAGAGCCACCAUCUUCUCAGUUAAAGCAUUCAGAGCCACCAUCUCUUCUCAGUAUGGGCAUUUAGAGCCACCAUUUCUUCUUAGUUUGGGCGUUCAGAGCCACUAUCUCUUCUCAGUUUCGGCAUUUAGAGCCACCAUCUCUUCUCAAUUUGGGUGUUUAGAGCCACUAUCUAUUCUCAAUUUGGGCGUUCAUAGCCACCAUCUCUUCUCAGUCUUGGUGUUUAAAGCCACCAUCUUCUUACGACUCAGCCUUCAAAGUCAUCAUUGCUUAUCGGUUACGACGUUCAGAGUCAUCUUCCUCGGUUUUGACGUUCAGAGCCACCAUUUCCUUAUAGCUUGACGAUUAGAGUCAUCAUCGCUUCUCAAUUACGACGUUCAGAGUCGUAUUUCUCAGUUAUGGCGCUCAGAGCCUUCAUCUUCUUCAGUUUGACGUUCAGAGUCGCACCUCUAGCUUGGCAUUUAGAGUUACUAUCUCUUUACAAUUUUGCUUUCAGAGCCAUCAUCCUAUUGCGAUCGGGCAUUCGUUGCCACUUUUUCGACAUUCAGAGCCACCAUCUUUUCUCAAUUAUGGCAUUCAAAACCAUCAUCUCUUUACAACUUGGCGUUUAGAGUCAUCGUCCUUCUCAAUCAUGGCAUUUAGAGCCACAUUUCAGGCAUUCGAAGUCAUGAUUUUCUAAAGCUUAUCAUCCUCCCUUGUGCAUGAUAUAGCUCUUUGAGCUUAUAGCUUAUGUUUUGAUUGUAUCAUUGGUGCCCCUCACUUCGCGCUCUUGUAUGGUGCAUGUAUAGUUUCCCUUUUAUAUAUGUUCCUCUCUAUGCUCCUAGAUGGUUUGACUACUACUCAACUUUGACUUCGAUCUUUGAAUCACUUUUGGUGACAUCUUAGAGGGAGUCUAGAUCCUUAGCGCGGCUUCAAAGGCACUUUGAGAGAUCCAUUUUUCUCUUAGGAUUUUAAAGCUCUUUUUACUCCUCUGAUGGUUUGGGUGAGUUUGUGUUUUACUUGUGUACCUUUAGGGAUCUUUCUUUGUCUUCGGUAGAGUUCACUUCAUUUCACUCUCUAUUCACACUUUUUUUUCACUUUAGUGUUUACAUUCAUUACACUCGUGAGCUCUACCGAAGAGGGGCAUAUUUGUAGACCCCUUUGUGGACACCAUCCGAGAGAGUGGUUUUUCUUUCAUUUUUUUGAAAUGGGGGGACCCCUUUCUGCCAAGAACAAGCUGCAUGGACAUGUGGCCAAGAGCAUGGCUCACCAUGGUGGUGGUUGAUGGUGAUGACAUCCUCCCGGGACAAGGAGCAGUAAAGUGGUUGGUGGCUUGCGGGAGAAGACAGAAAUGGGGGCAGGCAAGCAAGCUGCGAGGGGGUAGGUGAUUUUGGGGUUGCUGGUUUUGGGGAGAUACACUGGAAAAUGCUUUCUUUGGCUGGGGAGUCUUUGUUCUAGGGAGGAGGAAUUCUUUGGCCAGGCAAGAACUGUGAAAGAGCUCUCAGGUAAGUUUACUGGGUAUCUCUUGUUCACAUUUACUAUCACCGUUCUUUCAUUUUCCCCCUUCGCUAUUUGGGGUUUUGUUUGUUUGUUUGGUUAUGGAUAACAGGAGUUAUGCAUGAGUUUUGUUAAUUUCCAGUUUGUUCAUAUACCCAUUGAUCGCUUCAUUCACUAUCCUUCUUAAUAUUGGUUUAAACCCAAUGAAGUUCUGUUUCAUUUUGCUCUAUGUGAAGAUAUUGCUUGUUAUUUUCUCGUUUGGACCUGUUGGUACCCUUCCCACCCAUCCAAGCCCGUUGAAAGAGCAUUAGAUAUGGUUUUUCUUAAUUCACACACACACAUAUAUAUAUAUAUAUAUAUAUAUUUGUUUACUUUUCCUGGCUCUCCUUUGUUCUAGUCUAUAUUUUCUUUUUCCCGUUUUUUUUAUGCACUCGAUCCAGAAUGUCGGUUGAUUGAGUGUCGGUCAGAGGAAUUGGUUUUGGGCUUGUUCUAGAGAAAUGCGCUGGUAAAUAUACAUGCACAAUGUGGAAAAGGUGAAGUUGUUAAUACCUUAUCCAUUUGUUUUUCCGGGCACACGAAUGUUGGUCAAGUAGCCGAAAGAUUAAGAUGAGGCUUUCUCCCAUCACCAUUCCAGCUGAUUCAGUUGUGACUGUUGGUAUUGUGCCCUAUUCCGGGGUCCGUUCAAAAGUGUCUUCGGCUAAGGUUGUGCAAGCUAAAUCAGUUGAUGCUUAAUAUGCUUAGGAAUACUACUUGUGCGUUUUUCAAAUUUUAUGCAAAGGUGACAAGCCAAACAUCAGUGGAAAUGAUGCAUGACUCCUCCAAUAGAUCAGUUCAUACAAUUUUCAGGUGUGGGAAUAUAUGCUAGCAACGUUCUUGAAGUCACUAAUUGGUUCCCAUUUCCAACCCUAGAAGAGAAUGGUGAGACUGAAACAUCAUGUGGUCCCGACAUUUCAUCAUAUAUAAUUCCUUCAUACCCAUAUUCCCACUACCUUCCAUCCUCUAAGCCUCAUUCAUACCCAUAUCACUACUUCAUCUACCCGUAUUCUCAUAUUUCCAUCUCGUCACCAUAUUUUCUCUCUUUACACCACGUGCAUGUCCAUUACCACUCAUGCAUAUCACCACCCUCCUAUGCCCACCUUGCCCAUUCUUUCUUACCACCUUUCUCUUUUUACACCACAUGCCUCCCAAACCCACUACUCGUAUUUCACGCUUCAUCCCAUCUCAUCCCAUAUCCCUCCCAUGGAUAUCAUCACUUUCACAUACCCAUCACUACAUUUCUCUCUCUACACCACACCAUGUUCCCACUUUUUUUUUUUAAUAUGUCACUAGAUCCAUUUCUUCCCACUUUGCAUGGUCAUGCAUGGCCACACUAUGUCACUUCCACACUCAUACCCGUUCCAUACCCACAUCUUCCUAUCUGUAUUCCUACCCUUUUUUAAAAAAAAAAAAAAAAAUCCACUCACUCGUUUCUCUCACUACCACUACCCUUCAUUACUCAUCCCUACCCAUGGCAACCCAUACUCUCCUCACUCAUCUAUUACACCCACUGUCAAUAGCUCUCUUCAUCACCAUACCUAUUUUUUCCACUCUUUCUAAAUCCAUUGGACUCUCUCAUCUCACCACCCUCCAUCAUCCGUUCCAUCAAUAACCUCCCCGAAGACCAAGAAGAUUUUGCAACUUCUGCGCUUGAGAUAGAUAUUUAACAGUGUCUUCCUGAAAGUGAACAAGGAAACAACGAAUAUGUUGCACAAGGUUGAGCCUUACGAGACAUGCGGGUAUCCCAAUUCAAAGAGUGUUAAGGAAUUGGUUCACAAGCCAGGGUGCCUACCCGCUACAGUGAAACGCUUGGCUUUCAUAGUCUGCAUCGCGAGACAAUCAUGAAGCAUCAGUAUUGUUUGCAUUAGAGCGGGGUAUACCUUCCAUAGUUGGUACUCUUGGAAGUAUGUCUAUGGGAUGAAGCUGAUAUAUUAUCUGUUUUAUUUGAUAAUGGAUGAAAUCAUGGUGACUUUGUGGUCUAUAUCAUCCAGAAGUUCUCUCAAGAGAUAUAGCCGUCAUGUGAAGAUUCUUUUUCCUCACACGGUUACGCUGCUAAGAAGGAUUUCUCAUGCUUUGAAGGUCAUCAUGAAUCGAAAGACUCAAGAAGAAGGGUUAGCAUUGGUUCGUACUCAUCAGAUGCCUAGAAACAAGUGGGCAGAGUUGACAAAACUCUCGUCGAGAAGAACAGACAAUGCAAUAAAAGACCACUAGGACAGUUAUGUAAAGAAGAAGUUGGACUCUCAUAUAGCAUCAGAUUCACUUGCACAGUCCCAAGGCCAGCCUCUUGUUGGUCACUGAAACUGAUCGAUCCAUUCAUCUUCUUCAAAUAUGUAAUAGAGUAGUGGAGGUGAUGGCGGAGCCAAAGGUGGGAUAGAAGCAGAGGAAAUUUCAGAAUAUAGUCAAGGUUCAAUUGCGGAUUUUCUGGAAGCGUGAGGCACCAGUUUAAUUCAAAUGGGCAACCCACUCCUUCUUUUGAGCUGGGACAAGCAUCAUCAGGUUUAUCAUCGCAUUUUAAAGGUGGCAGAGGAAACCAGGGCACAGUUUCUGUCCCGUUCAUGAACUUCUGUAGGGUUGAGUGAUUCCUCUUCCACGGGAAAUAUAGGUGUGGACUCUGAUAUACCUGAGCAUUUACUGAUAUCUGAAGGCGACUGUUGUGGGUUCAGAUUCCAAGAGGAACUCCAGCUUCACAGUCAUAUUACUCCCUAAGGAUGACAGCGGCAAGCAUCACUAGCACCAAUAGGGUAGUCACAAUCGCACCCAAGGCCCAUGUGUAUUAUGGCCAACCUCCCAGACCCAUUUUCAAGGCCCACGUGCUUCUUUCCUUCACCUUAAAAAAAAAAACAAAAAAUGAUGAUUUUCUGAAAAUCCAAUUUCCAAAUAAUUCAACUCUCUAUUCUUUCAUCUCUAGAAUUUUUGGGUCCUAAAUUCCAUUUCCCAAUUUCCAUAUUUAUUUAUUUAAUAAGUAUUAUUUUUGUUAUUAUUAUUAUUAUUAUUCUAUUUAUUUAUUCAUUUAUUAUAAAAUUCCACCUUUAAAUAAUUUUCCAAAAUUCCGACUUCUGGAUUUAAAGUUCCAAUUUAAAAAAUCUCAAUAUUCACAUUCAUUUAUUUAAUUAUCAUUUUUGUUUUUAUUAUUAUUCUUUUUAUUUAUUUAUUCAUUUAUCAAUUCUUCAAAAUUUCGACUUUCAAAUAUAAUUUCUGAUUUUUCAUAAUUUCACUAUUCACAUUCAUUUAUUUAAUUAUUAUUUUUGUUAAUAUUAUCAUCAUUCCAUUUAUUUAUUUAUUUUAAAAUUUCAUCUAUUAACAAUUCUUCAAAAUUCCAGUUUCCGAAUUUAAUUUCCAAUUUCAAAUUUUCCACUAUUCACGUUCAUUUAUUUAAUUACUAUUUUCGUUACUAUUAUUAUUACUCCGUUUAUUUAUUUAUUUAUUCAUUUUAAAAUUUCAUCUUUUAACAAUUCUUCAAAAUUCCGGUUUCGAAUUUAAUUUCCAAUUUAAAAAAUUCCACUAUUCACAUUAAUUUAUUUAAUUAUUAUUUUCGUUAAUAUUAUUAUCAUUCCAUUUAUUUAUUUUAUUUAUUCAUUUUAAAAUUCCAUCUUUUAACAAAUUCUUCAAAUUCCAAUUUUCAAAUUUAAUUUUCAAUUUCCAAAAUUCAUUUUUUCACAUUUAUUUAUUUAAUCAUUAUUAUUUUCGUUAUUGUUAUUAUUUUAUUUAUUUUAAUUAUUUAUUUUUGAAAAUUCCAUUUUUAAAUAAUUCUUUAGAAUUCCAAUUUUUGAACUUAACUUCCAAAAUUUCAAUUCUUAAAUUUAAUUCCCAAUACUCCAAUUUCCAAAUAAUUUUCAAGACUCCAAUUUUCAAAUAAAUUUCAAAAAUCCAGUUUUCACUCGAACAAUUUUAAUUUCAUUCCGAUUCUCAAAUAAUCUAUUGUUUAUCUUGAUUUUACAUAAGUAUGAAUGCAAUUUUUCAUAAUUCCACAAUAAUGGAAUUUGCGAAACUAAUUCGUGCAAGAUAGAUUGGAUUUUGGUGGGAGGCCCAACAUUGGUGUUUUUUUCCUCUAAAAAUAAAUUUAAUUGAAUUGAAUUGUGAUAUCUAUUGAUUUCUCACUCUGUUUAGUGGCAUAUGUGACAUAGUCUGUUUUUGUUAAUUCUGCACUAAUCUCAUUUCUUGAUAGCACAUUGUGGCUCAUGGCCCAAGUACGCAUCCGCUCCCAUUCUAGUCAUUCUCCAUGCAUAUUCUGAUUCUCAUAUGUGCAUGAUCGAUUUGAGUACCCAUUGAUUUCCUUAUUGAUUGCCACAUCAACUUCCUUUUAUCAGUAGAGACCUGACUUUAGGGACUUAUAUGGGUGCUACGGUCCUUACUAUACAUUCCCGAUAAGUAAUCUGACCUCCGAGUCUGAUCCGGUUUUUCAAAAAUCACUUUUUUCAAAAUAAGGAGUUACACUUAGGGUUUUCUUUCUUAUUUUGUAUACCCUUUUGAUUACUACUCAAAAAGUGCUAUUUGAUAGCUUGUAAUUAACUCUUUUAAACACUUUUGAGUAGUAGUUAUUGCCUUUUAACCCAAUUAACAUGUUAAGGACCCUUGCAAUCAAUUCUAAUCAAAUUGUGUUAAGUUUUGGUGUUUUUGUUAGUAAUUUGAUCACCAAAACAAUCCAAGAUUGAGGAGAGUUAUUUGGAAUCCAUGGCAAAGCUUUUGGAAGCUCAAAUUUAUGAAGAACCAAGCUUUGGAGCUCCAUAGCCCUUUGCCAAAGUCGUUCAAAGUAUGCAAGGAGAGAAGCAAGGAGAAGAGGAAAACAGAGUGAAGAAAACAGAGGACAAGAAGCUGCAGUCUUCAUGCGCACUUUUGGAGCACUUCCCGAAGUCCAUUUUCUACAUUCUAUAUACCAUUUCAAAGCUCAGGAAGUCAAGAAUCCAAUGCUUCAAACGGUGCGUGAUUCGGAGUUGAAACGAAGAAGUUACAGCCAUUGCAAGCAGAUCACUCCAAAGUGUUGCGAAAUCAGCCUUUUGUUGCGAGAAUUUCGCAGCCUUUUUGUACAGUGCUAUGGAAUUCCUCCUGAAGCUACCCGAUACAUGCCGCAAGCUGGAACGCUGAGAACCUCAAGGUGGAAGCCAAUUUCGCAGCCCUGCGAGUUUAACUUGUUGUUGCGAAAAUAUUUCGCAGCCCUCUUGGGUGUCUGCGAAAUCUCGCAGACACCAUUUUCACCUGCGAAAUGGUUCCUGAAGCUUCCCGAUAUUUUCCACCGACUCUUUUGGAUAUUUUUCUUCAGAUAUUUUUGUAUAAAUUUCCAUUUUCUCCUUGUAUUCAGCCACUCAUGUAAUUCCUUAGCUAGGAAGUGUCCAAGGAAGGGUAAAUUACCUUCCUAUAUAAACUCUCUUGCAUCCACUGUAAAAAAAACGCUCGGAGAAGUAUGUAAUAUAGAAACAAUAUAUAGAAUCAACGAACAGAGCACUUGCUCUGUUUUUUCAUAUAUAUUCUUGUCUUCUCCUUCAUUUUCAUUUUCUAGCCAACCAAACUCUGAGGAUUUUUCCACAGAGGAUGAGAGGCUAAGCUUUUUGUCUCUUGGAGUAAGGAAAGCCGGGUAAGUUUCCACAUGCAUAAUUUGGAAGUUUUGUUGUUUUAGUUUUAAUGAAGAGAAAGUGUAACCCGUUAAUGGUUUUUAUCUUUUUAGUUAACUUAAAACACCUUAGAGUCACCUGAGCCAACACUUGGUAAGGCAAGUGAUUUCUAUCCAUGGAAAUGCACUAGUUUACCCCUUGCGAGCCUUUGGGAGGUGACUUGAAGGUAGGAUUUUCUAGAAUAGCCAACACUUGGUAAGCUUUUGGACUCCAAGGAGACAUCCAUUAGUUAUCUCUUGCGAGCUUUUGACGGGUAAUCCAAGGUUAAAGAUCUCCUUGAAUGGCAAGUGCUAGGUGAGAGGUAUGAGCCAUUGCAAGAUGCAUCAGUGAGAGGGAUUUAGUGUUUGAACCCAUUAAUGGGAAGCAUCUGUACAACACCGGUUGGAGAAGGAACUAUAUGUUAAUUCUCUAAUGCGAGGAAAAGAAACAAGUGACCGGAACUCCCUUUUUGUAUGAGGAAUCUGAGCCUAGUGAUCUGAAAUUCCAAGAAACACUUUUCUUUGUAAGUAAAAUCAGUUACUAUUUUUGGUUAGCUUAAAACCAAUCCUUUUUCAUUCAAAAAUCUUUAUGUUUUCUUUUAAAGCUAACCUUGAAAUGAAAAGGCACCAAUUCAGCUUUAAAUUAAUAUCAUUUGCAAAGUGAAAACCCAUCCCAGUGAACGAUCCUAGAGCCACUAUACUAUAGUAGUUUUGUCUUUGCUACCCUAGUAUAUGGUGUAAUAGGUUAUAAAUUUUGUUGAUUACUCCCUCAAUCAAGGAGCACCAGCUGUACACGAAUCAGCUGAGACAUCAAUUGGGCACGAAUCAAAUGGCGCCGCUGCCGGGGAUCGAACCCCGAAUCAAAUGGUGCCAUUGCCACUGCCGCUGCUAGGGACGAAUCAUUAAAAACAAAACAAAAAUAAGUGGCGAUUCCAAGUCAUUUCUAAAAAAAAAAAUCAUAUUUUUCAUUAAAUAAAUAAAAAACGAAUUUGCCAUCGAGUGAGAACGCAUUGAGCAAAAAUGCGAGGUCCACAUAUUGUUAUUUUUAUUUAUAAAGAAUCGAAAUUUACUUUAUCAUUUAUUAAUUGGCAUGAAAUGUUUUGACUUGCCUUGAUUAAUAAGGACUUCCAUGGCUUACCUGAUAGAGUUGGGCCCUUAACGUUAUCCACUCUGCAAUGUAUCAUGCCCUUCCAAAGCUUAAUCAAGUCAACGGCUAAGGUGUAAUUUCAUGCAUUAAAUUAUUUUAAAAAAUGUUUAAUACUGCAGUCAAGCUCGUACUACAUAUACUCUAAAAUCAACAAUGUAAUUUUCUGCACUGAGCAAUUUCAUAAAAAUGGUUUUUGAGUAAAAGAGAUUUGGAUUUUGGCCUAUGGCCUAUGGACUUUCAAAACAGGGGGUUACUCCUUGCAUUAGCUUUGUCAGGAGCACAAACCUGACAAAGAAAGCAAUUGGCAACAUGUUGAAUUUAAGCCACAAGCAUAGAGAAUCUUCAAACUUUGCAGCCUCCCCAGGUUUUGUGGCAACUUGUGGAGUUUUGAACACUCACUGACAUUGAGAACUUCAAGAAAGCAUAAAUUACAAGUGCUUCCUGGAAGAGUCACAAGGUUUUGGCAUCUGUCCAGAUUCAAAAGUUCAAGCCUAUUCAAAUGUUCGAUUGAUGAUGGUAGCUCUUUUAUAGCCGUUCCGUUCAAGUGAAGCUCCCUUAAGUUUUCCAUAUUCUCCAAGAUUUCUGGAAAGUACUGUAAUUGUGAACAGUCAGAGCCAAAGAGAGAUUUUAGGGAUUUGAACUCCCGAAUGCUUGUUGGCAGACUCUCAAGGUUUUUGCACUCUCGCAAACAUAAGGUAUCAAAUUCAGAGGCAUGCUCAAUGGGUAGUAGGUUGAUUGUCUGACCCUUUAAACAAAGCUUUCGGUGUUCCACGUUCCUCUGACAUUCCACGCAGCUAGCAUCCACAUCCUCAGUCUGUACUAUUGGAUCUUGGGAGUAUAUAGGUUGAAGCCCACACUUGAGCACCUUAAAAUGAUUGCGAGAGCCCAUAAAUAGAGCCCCAAGAAACAUGGAUGGAUUGGUGUGACAGCUCUCCAGAAUAGCAGCCUUGGGAUAGAAUAUCACCCACAUUUGUUCUGAUGCACCUCCAUCAUGGUAGCAUUUACAAGUAGUGCGAAAACUGAGAGGUUGCACACACAGGGGAGAAAAUCCAUAUCCAUCAUGCAAUGACAAUUGACAUUCUAACUCAGUGGAGAUUGAAGAUUCAGCUUCAAAUAAAUCGUCAGAUUCAUUCAGGGCUUCGUCACCAGAUUCAUUCUCCGAAAAUGUAUGUGCAAAAUCAUUUUCUGGUAUGUCCUCACAUUCAUCGAGUGGAGCAUAAACACAGCAUAUAGCAAUUCCCAAGAAGUCAUUAUUUUCAUAACAACUCUGAGGAAGGUCCAUUGUGAUCUGAUAUCCCUCUCUCUGUUUCCUUAUCCACUUGGGAAUUCCACUGCUUCCCGGAACAACAAUACAGAUUCCAUGGCCAAUGAAGUCAGAAUCAGGGAGAAAUACUUCAUUUGAACUGCUCUUGUAUUUCAAAUCCUGUACAAAGGGACAAUGUAAAUCCAGUGGGUCUGUGCCAUUAUGUGAGUUUUUAUGAGAGAGUUUGUUAUCGGUUUUUGAUAAAUUGAUUCCCAGUUUUAACUUUCUUUGAUCUAUGCUCCUGAAUCUACUUAAUAUCCCUUUUAGAUGACGGAUAAUCAAUCAACAUGAAAGUGAGUGACAAGAUUAAGUGUGAAAACUGGAAGUGAGGGGAAACUGAAACUGAAAGUGAGUAGAAUAAGCAGAUCUGUUCUUCACUUGCAGUAGCUUCUUCUCCAUUCAGAUUCAGAGAUCUUAGAAUUGUAGCUUCAACUUAACUCUCAGAAUCUUAAAGACAAAGUUCGCUCAAGUUUCAAAAACUCACAGAAAAGUUUCUCCUCAUGUUUCUUUUAAUCCCAUGAGGCGACAGACAUGUAGCACACACUUACUGGCUUUUUGCCAUGCAAGUUUCAAGGUGGAGUGUCCAAUGAACUAAAACAUUCCCUCAAAUCCUAGUGGAAAUUCACACUAUAAAUUUCAGAAUUUGCUAAAGAAAAGUUUAAUUAAUUUUACCCAUGACUAAAAAGGCAUGUGAGGGCAUUUUAACAGCCUAUUAAUUAUUAUAUUAAACUACUAUUCUCAUUACUCAAACUCAUGAUCCUUCACAUCAUCACCACAUUUUGAAGAGACUUUCGUCAACUCUUCUAUGAAUGAAUUGAUGUUUAAGGAGGCAUAAUAAACUUUUAAUUGAAUUUAACAUUAUUUCUAUCCUUAUACUCAUCUUAAAUUAUUAUUUUUUUAUAUUCUUAUCAAAAUAAAUAAAAACUUAACAAAAAAAAUAAAGAUUUCAAAACAAACUUUAUUAGCAACACUUAUUUACAUCAUUCUUUAAAAAAAUAUUCAAAAACAAAUUUUUUUACAAUUAAAAAAAUGUGAUUUAAAAUUUAUAAAGAACAAAAUUUUUAGAAAAAUAUGGUAGUUGUUUGAAAUAAAAUAAAAGGGAAAUCAAAAUUCUUAGUAAAUGAAUAGUCAAAAAAACUGUAACAGAUAUGCAAAUGAGAAAAAAAAUAAUCAAUGUCAAGAAUGAGAAACAAUUUUUUCUUUUUUCUUUUCUUAUUUUAUGCAUUCAUUACCAUUUUUAAAUUAAUAAAUAAAGUUUUUCUCACAAAAUUUUAAAAUGGCAUGUAUGCUUCAAAAUUUAUAUAUUGUUAUUAGAUUUUUAUAAAUUUCAUUUAUAUCCUCAAAAUUAGAAUCAUUAAACUCACAUUUUAAAAUAAGAUAUCAAAUAGUUAUUUUUUCAUCCUUUAGCAAUAUCAAACGUUUUUUGUACUUUAAUAAAAAAAAAAAAAGCUAUUUUUUCUAAUUAAUGACUAUUUUGCAUAAUAUUUGUAUAAAUUAUUUAAUAUAUAAAUAUUACUUAUUUAAUAGUUUUUUUUUAAUUUCUUAUAGAAAGAGUAGUGCAUACAUAAUUCAAACAAAAGGUAAUUUUAUAUUGCAAAAAAGUUUGUGGAAAAAGGAAAUUUGAACAAGGAUUGAAAUUUAUAGAACCAUAUUGGACACCUAGUUCUAGGUUUGUCCCUUUCCAACAAUCAUGACUUGGUAGUAGCCUAAUCUCAAAUCUAACUUUGUCAGGCCCUUCCUUUACUAAGUCGAUCAAACAAGUUGUUAACAAACAGAAUAAGAUAUUUUUUCUUUUCACCUUGUUGAGUCUUCGAUAAUCUAUACACAUUCAGAGGGAUCCAUUAUGUUUCUUUUAGAAUAAUAUUGAUGUGGCAUAUGAAGCUUUAGUUGGUUGGAUGUAUCCCAUGUUAUGCAACUUCUUAAGUUGUUUCCUUUGUUCUUCUAAAUUAGGUAGUAUCAUCCUAUGGGACCUCCAUGGCAAGGGGCUUAGCUCCUGGCUCUAAGUCAAUCUUGUGCUCCCCUUCCCUUAUUUGUGUGAGUUUCUUAUGUAAUUUUAAUGACAUCUAAGGAUGGCAAAGUUUGAUACAAUUUUUCAACCAAACUUGAAGAAGCGUUAUUAGUGGGUUUGGAAAGUUCUAAUCUAUUUUACUUUUUAAAACAAAGUAAAAUAGAGAACAAUUUUUAAAGAACAAUUAGGAGUUGUUUUUACCAAUUUUUAAAAAACAAAAAAUAUAUAAACUCAUUUGACUAUAUUCUUUUAAACUUGUUUUUAAAUUAAAGAAUAAAAAAUAAUUUUUUAAAAUAAGUUUCAAAAAAUAUGACCAAGUCGGGGUUUAUAAUAUUAAAGAGGAAAAAAGUUAAUUUAAGAUUUUGCAUGCAGGUAAACAUCAGGCUGUAAAACUGGUUUACUAAGACACUCAUUUUAUUUAUAUAUUCUUCUAUGUGCAUGCAUUGACCAUGUGGUUAAGAUGUGUUGCACCGAAAUCUAAUGAUUAGCUGUAAAACGUUAAUUAAUCCGAGCAUACAUUUUUCUUUAUUUGUUUUGGUUUCUUUACAAGAAUGCUUCUUUAUGUAUUCUUGUUGAACCUAUAAAAUAUCAUCCAUAGACAUUCUUUUUGAAUAAUUAAGAACCGAGAUUUCUAAUUGGUUGGUUAUUAUUUUUAUCUGUAAGGAAUCGAAAUUUAGCUCAUCAUUUAUCGUAUGAAUAUCAUAUAGAUUUGAAAAGAAUUUCACACUUAGAAAUGUACCUCUCAGAACAUUUGAAGUUAAGAUGUUUUUGUCUUCUUCAAUUUGAUUGCUCAUUACGACUUUGAGAUUCAAAUUCCUUUUGAUGUAAAAAACAAACUUAAAUAAAUAAAAAGAAUUAAAAGAUAAGCAGAGCAAAAAAUUAAAUAGUGUGAGUUGGAAUGAAUAAAGUUUUAAUCAAAAUUGGAAAUUAAGGUGAAACAUCCUAAAUUAUAUACAAAAGCUCAUAUAAUAUUACACCAUAAUUUCUCUAAAUUAAUCUUAACCUUUUAGUGCAGUGUGUACAGUCAUUGCUUGUUUGUGGAUUAGAAUUAGUAUCUUCUGCUGCUGAUCUGGUAUCACAACUUCUCUGCUCAUCAUUGUACUCUAUCAUUGUCUGAUGGUCGCGCCUGGUGGCUUCUGUGUUGUCACAGCUUCUCCGAGCAUCACUACUGGUAUCUUCUGGGAUGUUUCUGUUUAUAACAUCAGGUGUAUAUAUAAGAUGGAACCCACACUCUUUCACUUCGACUGGUGUACCGUCCAAGCUAUGAAAUGAAGCCUUCAAACGUCUCCAUUCGUUCGACCAAUACUGGUUGCCAAUAACAACCUUGGGAUAAUAAGUCACACACAUUUGACUUGAUUCACCGCAAAUUCGGCAGCAAUAAGACCGGACAUCAUCCACGUGACAGCAUUCAGAUUGAUCACCACAGAUAUUGAGUUCGCAAUUCAACCAACCACAAGCCAUAGGAAUAAAAACAGAGUAUAAAGCAAAUCCUAAGAAGCCAUCUUUUCUGUACAAAUCCGUAGAAAGCUCUAUUGUUAUUUGAGAUCCUUUUUUUGGCUGGCUUAUCCACUCUGGAAUUCCAUCAUUUCCCGAAAUAACAACUCUGAUUGCCUUGUUCCAAUAGGAGCCGCAUUCAAAUUCCUGCACAGAAGUACAGUGUUAAUACUCUGUUCAUAAGGAAAAAGGGCUGAAUGUUAUGAAAAUCAUACCUCAAUCAUUGAUUUGAAGCAUUUGAACAGAGAAAAACCAAGUUGACUUGAUGGACUUGAUAAAGUUUCCAAGCAUGUGCAACUGUGGACAUCUAGAACUCGUAAACUUGGUGGAAACUCUGGAACUUGUAGAAGCCCCUGGCAGUGACUCAAUUCAAGGACUCUCAGUUUAGAAAGUUGAAUGAUGCCUGCAAGUAUGCUACUAAAACAGUCCUUGCUUAGAUUUAGACCUGAAGCGUACAAACCCUCUAAACAUUGCAAACUCCUCAGGUUCUCGGGAAAUCUCUCAAGUUUUGUACAGAAACUGACAUUUAGAAUUUUGAGAGUUUUCAAAUUACAAAAGGCCUCUGGAAGACUCACAAGGUAUUGCGAGAUUCAAAUAUUGAAGCCCUCUUAGAUAUUGAAUUGAUGCUGGUAGUUCUUCGAUAGCAGUUCCAUCUAAAUGAAGCUCUCUUAUAUUUUCCACAUCCUCGAGGAUUUCCGGAAAGCUCCUUAAUCGUGAACAGCCUGAGCAGAAGAGAGUUGUAAGGGAUUUCAACUCACAUAUGCUACUGGGAAGAAGCUCAAGGUUUUUGCAUUCUCGCAAACAUAACCUAUUAAGUUUAUGGGGACACUCAACAGUGGGUAGUUCAUUGAUGGCAUUUCACUUUAAACAAAGCUUCCAUAGGGAUUGCACAUCCUCUUGACAUUCCCGGCAAACGGUGGAUAUCAUUGCUUUACCAUGGUUCUGUUCAUGAUCAUGGGCAUAUAUAAGAUGGAUCCCACACUCUUCUACUUUCACUGCUUUACCUCUCAAGUAGCCACAAAAUGAAGCCGUCAACUGCCUCCAUUUAUUUGAGUGGUACUUCUCCUCAAUCUCAUGCUUAGGAUAAUAAAUCAUCCACAUACAAGGUACAACAUAGACGUGAAAUGAGGGAUAAAACUGGAGUUUAUCCACAAACUGAAUUUCAUGACCACGCAAAGUUAAACCAUACUCGAAGUAAGUUGCACCAUUCUCCAGUGUCUCCUCAGAUUCAUUAUCCAGUGGAUAAUAGACACAGUACAAAACAAAACCCAACAAGUCGUCAUUUUUAUACCAAUUUUGAGGAAGCUUUGCUACUACUUCAGCUCCCUUUUUGUGAUGGCUUAUCCAAUCUGGAAUUCCACAACUUUCUGAAAUAAUAAGAUUUACUCGGGCAAAAGGUUUUUCUAAAGGAUAAAUCUUGCAUUCCAAAUCCUGCAGAAAAUUUAAUUAACACUUAAAUCCCCAUGUCUCCACAAAAAAAGUUUUGGUCUAUGAAUAUCAUACCUGAAUCAAUGAUUUGAAGCAGUUGAAUAGAGAAGACCAGAGUAGACCUGAAGAAGUUUCCAGCCGUUUGCACAAAUGUAUAUCUAAGACACGCAAACUGGAUGGAAGUGCUGGAAUUUGUCGAAGCUCUUGACAGUUACCCAAGACAAGGAGUCUCAGCCUAGAAAGUUGAUUGAUCCCAGCAGGUAUGCUCCUAAAAAGAUUCCCGAAUAGAAAUAAUUCUUGCAGAGAUGAUAGCUGGCAAAUUUCAGUGGGGAUUCCUCCUUCAUCUAUACCACACACACGUAGAUCUACAACUUCCAAGGAGUACAAGCAGCAAAUAUCACUCAGGACUACUCCUUGCAUUAGCUUUGAGUAAAUAAGAUCUAACUCCUUUAAGGAGCAUAAACCUGACAAAGAAAGCAAUUGGCAACAUCUUGAAUUUAAGCCCCUAGCACGGAGACACUUCAAGCUUUGCAGCCUCCCCAGGUUUUGUGGCAAUUUGUGGAGUUUUGAACAGUAAUUCACAUUGAGAUCUUCAAGAAAGCGUAAAUUACAAAUGCUUUCUGGAAGAGUCACAAGGUUUUUGCACCUCUCAAGAUUCAAAACUUGAAGCCUAUUCAAAUGUUCGAUUGAAGAUGGUAGCUCUUUUAUGGCCGUUCCGUUCAAGUGAAGCUGCCUUAAGUUUUCCAUAUUCUCCAAGAUUUCUGGGAAGUACUGUAAUUGUGAACAGUCAGAGCAAAAGAGAGAUUUUAGGGAUUUGAACUCCCAAAUGCUUGUUGGUAGACUCUCAAGGUUUUUGCACUCUCGCAAACAUAAGGUAUCAAAUUCAGAGGCACACUCAAUGGGUGGUAGGCUGAUUGUCUGACCCUUUAAACAAAGCUUUCGGUGUUCCACAUUCCUCUGACAUUCAGCGCAGCUAGCAUCCACAUCAUCAGUCUGUACUAUUGGAUCUUGGGCGUAUAUAGGUUCAAGCCCACACUUGAGCACCUUAAAAUGAUUGCGACAGCCCAUAAAUAUAGCCCCAAGAAACAUGGAUGGAUUGGUGUGACAGCUCUCCAGAAUAGCAGCCUUGGGAUAGAAUAUCACCCACAUUUGUUCUGAUCCACCUCCAUCAUGGUAGCAUUUACAAGUAGUGCGAAAACUGAGACGUUGCGCACACAGGGUAGAAAAUCCAUAUCUAUCAUGUAAUGACAAUUUACAUUCUAACCCAGUGGAGAUUGAAGAUUCAGCUUCAAGUAAAUCGUCAUAUUCAUUUAGGGCUUCGUCACCAGAUUCAUUCUCCGAUGUAUGUGCAAAAUCAUUUUCUGGUAUGUCCUCACAUUCAUCGUGUGGAGCAUAAACACAGCAUAUAGCAAUUCCCAAGAAGUCAUUAUUUUCGUAACAAUUCUGAGGAAGGUCCAUUGUGAUAUGAUUUCCCUCUCUCUGAUUCCUUAUCCACUUGGGAAUUCCACAGCUUCCCGGAACAACAAUACAGACUCCAUUGCCAAUGAAGUCAGAAUCACGGAGAAAUACUUCAUUUGAACUGCUCUUGUAUUUCAAAUCCUGUACAAAAGGACAAUGUAAAUCCUGUGGGUCUGUGCCAUUAUGUGAGUUUUUAUGAGAGAGUUUGUUAUCAGUUUUUGAUAAAUUGAUUCCCAGUUUUAACUUUCUUUGAUCUAUGCUCCUGAAUCUACUUAAUAUCCCUUUUAGAUGACGGAUUAUCAAUCAACAUGAAAGUGAGUGACAAGAUUAAGUGUGAAAACUGGAAGUGAGGGGAAACUGAAACUGAAAGUGAGUAGAAUAACCAGAUCUCUUCUUCACUUGCAGUAGCUUCUUCUCCAUUCAGAUACAGAGAUCUUAGAAUUGUAGCUUCAACUUAACUCUCAGAAUCUUAAAGACAAAGUUCGCUCAAGUUUCAAAAACUCACACAAAAAUUUCUCCUCAUGUUUCUCUUAAUCCUAUGAGGCGAGAGACAUGUAGCACACACUUAUUGGCUUUUUUACAUGCAAGUUUCAAGGUGGAGCGUCUAAUGAACUAAAACAUUCCCUCAAAUCCCAGUGGAAAUUCACACUAGAAAUUGCAGAAUUUGCUAAGGAAAAGUUUAAUUCAUUUAAUCCAUGAAUAAAAAAGUAUGUGAGAGCAUUUUAACAUCCUAAUACUUAUUAUAUUAAACUAUAAUUCUCAUUAUUUAAACUCAUGAUCCUUCACUUCAUCACCAAAUUUUGAAGACACUUUUGGCAUCUCUUCCAUGAAUUAAUUGAUGUUUAAGAAGGUAUAAUAAACUUUUAAUUGAAUUUAACAUUAUUUCUAUCCUAAUACUCAUCUUAAACUCUGUUUUUUUUUUUUUUAUACUCUUAUCAAAACAAAUAAAAACUUAACAAAAAAAUAAAGAUUUCAAUUACUCCGUGUUCAAAAGGGAAAAUGGCUAAAUGUCAUGAAAAUCAUACCUCAAUAGUUGAUUUAAAGCAUUUGAACAGAGAAACACCAAGUAGACAUGAUGGACUUGAUAAAACUUCCAAGCAUGUGCAACUGUGGACAUCUAGAACUCGUAAACUUGGUGGAAGCUCUGGAACUUGUAGAAGCCCCUGGCAGUGACUCAAUUCAAGGACUCUCAGUUUAGAAAGUUGAAUGAUGCCUGCAAGUAUGCUACUAAAACAGUCCUUGCUUAGAUUUAGACCUGAAGCGUACAAACCCUCUAAACAUUGCAAACUCCUCAGGUUCUCGGGAAAUCUCUCAAGUUUUGUACAGAAACUGACAUUUAGAAUUUUGAGCGUUUUCAACUUACAAAUGGCCUCUGGAAGACUCACAAGGUUGCUGCAAUCUGCAAGAUUCAAAUGUUGAAGCCCUCUUAGAUAUUGAAUUGAUGCUGGUAGUUCUUCUAUAGCAGUUCCAUCUAAAUGAAGCUCUCUUAUAUUUUCCACAUCCUCGAGGAUUUCCGGAAAGCUCCUUAAUCGUGAAC